rnacentral:lncRNA from 1 species
UUUUUUGUAGUUUUUAUUUUAUAAACUAAACUAGUGCUAAAACAAGAAACAAAAAAGAUUCGAUUGCAAGAUCUAAAGAUAUACCUUCAAGCACUCACCUCCCCGGCAACAGCGCCAGAAAAGAGCUUGAUGUCUACUACACAACCUUCUUCUUGUAGACAUUGUUGGGUCUCCAAGUGCAGAGGUUUGUAGGAUAGUAGCAAAUUUCCCUCAAGUGGAUAACCUAAGAUUUAUCAAUCCGUGGGAGGCGUAGGAUGAAGAUGGUCUCUCUCAAGCAACCCUGCAACAAAAUAACAAAGAGUCUCUUGUGUCCCCAACACACCCAAUACAAUGGUAAAUUGUAUAGGUGCACUAGUUCGGCAAAGAGAUGGUGAUACAAGUGCAAUAUGGAUGAUAGAUAUAGGUUUUUGUAAUCUGAAAAUAUAAAAACAGCAAGGUAACUAAUGAUAAAAGUGAGCGCAAACGGUAUUCCAAUGCUAGGAAACAAGGCCUAGGGUUCAUACUUUCACUAGUGCAAGUUCUCUCAACAGUAAUAACAUAAUUGGAUCAUAUAGCUAUCCCUCAACAUGCAACAGAGAGUCACUCCAAAGUCACUAAUAGCGGAGAACAAACGAAGAGAUUAUUGUAGGGUAUGAAACCACCUCAAAGUUAUCCUUUCUGGUUGAUCUAUUCAAGAGUCCAUAGUAAAAUAACAUGAAGCUAUUCUUUCCGUUCAAUCUAUCAUAGAGUUCGUACUAGAAUAACACCUUAAGACACAAAUCAACCAAAACCCUAAUGUCACCUAGAUGCUCCAAUGUCACCUCAAGUAUCCUUGGGUAUGAUUAUAUGAUAUGCAUCACACAAUCUCGGAUUCAUCUAUUCAAACAACACAAAGUGCUUCAAAGAGUGCCCCAAAGAUUCUACCGGAGAGUCAAGACGAAAACGUGUGCCAACCCCUAUGCAUAGGUUCAUGGGCGGAACCUGCAAGUUGAUCACCAAAACAUACAUCAAGUGGAUCAAUAGAAUACCUCAUUGUCACCACGGGUAUCCCACGCAAGACAUACAUCAAGUGUUCUCAAAUCCUUAAAGACUCAAUCCAAUAAGAUAACUUCAAAGGGAAAACUCAAUCCUUUACAAGAGAGUAGAGGGGGAGAAACAUCAUAAAAUCCAACUAUAAUAGCAAAGCUCGCGAUACAUCAAGAUCGUACCACCUCAAGAACACGAGAGAGAGAGAAGAGAGAGAGAGAGAGAGAGAGAGAGAUCAAACACAUAGCUACUGGUACAUACCCUCAGCCCCGAGGGAGAACUACUCCCUCCUCGUCAUGGAGAGCACCGGGAUGAUGAAGAUGGCCACCGGAGAGGGAUUCCCCCUCCGGCAGGGUGCCGGAACUGGUCUAGAUUGGUUUUUGGUGGCUAUGGAGGCUUCUGGCAGCGGAACUCCCGAUCUAUUGUGCUCCCCGAAGUUUUUAGGGUAUAUGGAUAUAUAUAGGAGGAAGAAGGACGUUGGUGGAUCUCCGGGCUAUCCAUGAGACAGGGGGGCGCGCCCCCCACCCUCGUGGGCAGCCAGGGACUCUCCUGGUCCAUCUCUGAUACUCCGUGGGCUUCUUUUGGUCCAAAAAUAAGUUCCGUGAAGUUUCAUGUCAAUUGGACUCCGUUUGAUUUUCCUUUUCUGCGAUACUCUAAAACAAGAAAAAAAACAAAAACUGGCACUGGGCUCUAUGUUAAUAGGUUAGUCCCAAAAAUCAUAUAAAAUAGCAUAUAAAUGCAUAUAAAACAUCCAAAGUUGAUAAUAUAAUAGCAUGGAACAAUCAAAAAUUAUAGAUAAGUUGGAGACGUAUCAGUGCCCCUGACCUUUCUCAUCCUUGUGACGUGUGUCACCCACGUACAGAGAGGUGGAGAUCGUGAGAGAUCAUGGGUGAAUAGAUAAGUAUUAUCGUGGGAUGUGGAACGGUUUAGGCGGUAACAGCCGAAAAUUCAGAUUAGAAUAUUUUAAAGUUUCGUUCACAGAUUCUUCAGCUAACAAGGACACAGUGAAUAUUUUGAACGGGUUUCAAAUAGAACGCACAUGAAGAAUUUGUGAACAGACUGGGUUGAGUAUAGCAUAGAGGGGGAAGAGUCCGAUCACAUUCACUUAGCAAAAAGAUCAACUUGAAGAAAUAGCUAUAAGUGAAUGUUGUAGAGGACAUAAACUCAUAUAUAAUAUGUAUAGUCAAUGAAGAAAAAUGACGGAUAGAGUGAAGACAUUGCAAAGUUGAAGAAAUCAACUGAGGAAUUUCAAGACUGAAGAAAAACUCAAAUUGAAGAUUUUCAACUUUUGUUGGUGGCGUGACCCACCGUAUAAGAAUGCUGAUUUCAGACGUCAUGUACAAUUGUCGUAGGGCUCUGAGUAUCAAAUUCCUCAUUAAUUUCUUCACACUUAGAGGGUUAGUCUUCAUUAAUUGAAGAAAAACGUUACUUCAUGUGUUGCACAUCUAAGUCAUCAAUUUGCAUAAGUGUUAGGAUGUGUGUCCUUUUCAAAGGACAUUCGAAGAUUCUAAGAUAUUUACCUCACACCGCAACUUGCUAAAUAUCUUCUCAUCCAAGGGAUUUGUGAAGAUAUCGGCUAGCUGUUCUUCAGUCUUCACAUGCUCGAUGGAGAUAUCGCCCUUCAACACAUGAUCAUGAAGAAAAUGAUGACCAAUCUGAAUGUGCUUUGUCUUCGAGUGUUGAACUGGGUUAUGAGCAAUCUUGAUAGCACUCUCAUUGUCACAAUAGAGUGGCACAUUCUUCACAUUGAGGUCGUAGUCCUUGAGGGUUUGCUUCAUCCAUGGCAAUUGAGCAUAGCACGAACCAGCAGCAAUGUACUCAGCUUCAGUAGUAGAAAGUGAUAUGCAGUUUUGUUUCUUCGAAGACCAACAGACCAAGGAUCGUCCGAGGAAAUGGCAUGUGUCUGAUGUUGACUUGCGGUCCACAUGAUCACCAGCAUAGUCAGAAUCUGAAUAUCCAAUGAGAUCAAAAGCCGAGCCCUUGGGAUACCAUAUUCCAAGUGUUGGAGUGUGAGCUAGAUGUCAAAGGAUAUGCUUCACAGCCUUAUGGUGUGAUUCCUUCGGUGUAGCUUGAAAAUGGGCACAGACGCAAACACUAAGCAUAAUAUCUGGCCUAGAUGCACAUAAAUACAAUAAAGAGACAAUCAUGGAGCGGUAUACCAUUUGAUCAAAGUUAAUACCAUUUUCAUCAGUGCAUAGAUGGACAUUUGUGGGCAUAGGGAUUUUGACACCUUUGCAAUCUUGCAUGCCGAAUUUCCUCAAUACAUCCUUGAGAUAUUUCUCCUGAGUUAUGAAGAUGUUGUUUUGUUGUUGAUGAAUUUGAAGACCAAAGAAGAAUUUCAAUUCUCCCAUCAUAGACAUUUGAUAUUCUUCACUCAUCAUAUAGGAAAAUUCAUCACUGUAACGUUGGUCAGUACAACCAAAAUGAUAUUAUCAACAUAUAUUUGGCACACGAAUAAUUCAUCAUCAUAAGCUUUGGUGAAGAGAGUUGGGUCAAGUGAACCGGGUUUGAAGCCUUUCUUCAUGAGGAAUUCCUUCAAAAUAUCAUACCACGCCCGAGAGGCCUGCUUGAGGCCAUAGAGGGUGUUACUGAGUCUGAAGACUUUGUCAAGAUGCUUUGGAUCCUCAAAACAUGGGGGUUGAGCAACAUAUACUUCUUCCUCAUGCUUACCAUUGCGGAAUGCACUUUUCACAUCCAUUCGAUAUAAGAUGAUAUUAUGAUGGUUAGCAUAAGCAAGUAAUAUGUGAAUAGCUUCAAGUCUAGCAACAGGUGCAAAAGUUUCAUUGAAAUCAAUUCCUUCAACCUGUGUGUAGCCUUGAGCUACAAGUCGUGCCUUAUUCCUCACCACAAGGCCAUUUUCAUCUUGCUUGUUACGGUAGAUCCAUUUGGUGCCGAUGAUAUUGUGCUUGCAAGGGUCUGGUCGCUUGACAAGUUCCCAGACAUUGUUGAGCUCGAACUAAUGUAAUUCUUCUUGCAUAGCUUGAAUCCACUCAGGCUCCAUAAAUGCUUCAUCUACCUUAGUGGGCUCUGUGAUAGAUAUGAAAGCAAAGUGCACACAAAAGUUAGACAAAUGUGAAGCUUUUGAGCAUGUGAGAGGACCUGGUGCUUUGAUGUCGUUGAUGGUUCUCUCAAUCUGCACUUCAUUAGCAACGCGAGGAUGAGCUGGUUGACGAUGAGGAAUUUUCUCAUCAUUUUCAUCAGAGACAUUUUCUUCAGGUGCACCAGCAUGAUGUUCUUCACGUUCUGGAAUGGCUUCUUCAGCAGAUUCUUUGGUAGGAAUGACAUCCUCAGUAGCCUUGAACUUAAUGGAUUCCUUAGGUGGUAUUUCAUCUAGCACAUGAGGUAGGUGCUCUAUUUGCGAGACAUUAGUUUCAUCAAACCGCACAUCUAUAGUUUCAACAACCUUCUGGUGAUAGGUGUUGAAGACUCUGUAGGUGUGCGAUUCCUUACCAUAACCAAGCAUAAAACCUUCAUGUGCUUUCGGUGCAAAUUUAGAAUUGUGAUGAGGAUCUCUAAUCCAACAUUUAGCACCGAAGACUUUGAAAUAACUCACAUUGGGUUUCUUGUCCGUGAGGAGUUCAUAUGAGGUCUUUCUGAAGAAUUUAUGAAGAUAUACCCUGUUGAUGAUGUGGCACGCAGUAUCAAUUGCCUCAGACCAGAAACGAGAAGGCGUCUUGUACUCAUCAAGCAUAGUGUAAGCCAUCUCAACAAGAGUCAUGUUCUUGUGCUCCACGACGUCAUUCUGCUGAGGAGUAUAAGGAGCAGAUAACUCAUGAGUAAUACCAAGUUCAUCAAGAUAGUCAUCAAGACCAGUAUUCUUGAACUCGGUCCCAUUGUCACUUCUAAUGUGCUUGAUCUUCACAUCGAAGUUUGUUGAAGCCCUCGAGGAAAAUCGUUUGAAGACUUCCUGCACUUCAGUUUUGUAAGUGAUGAUAUGCACCCAUGUAUAACGAGAAUAGUCAUCAACAAUGACAAAGCCAUAUAAAGAUGCAACAUUAGUAAAUGUGGCAUAAUGAGUAGGGCCAAAGAGAUCCAUGCGAAGCAAUUCAAUGGACGAGUGGUAGUCAUGAUGGUCUUUGAGGGAUGUUUGGCCUUGGUCAUCUUUCCGGCUUCACAAGCUCCACACAAAUGGUCCUUGAGGAAUUUGACACCCUCGAUGCCAAUGACAGGCUUCUUCUUCACGAGCGUGUGCAAGUUCCUCAUACCAGCAUGACCAAGUCGUCGAUGCCAUAGCCAGCCUUCUGAAGCUUUUGCAAGUAGACAUGUGGCAGGUUGUGGUCCUAUAGAGAAAUCAACAAUAUACAAAUCUCCUCUCCUAAAGCCUUCGAAUACUUUGGAAUUCUCUGCUUCCAUGAUCACAACACAACGGUACUUGCCAAGAUCACAAAGCAUUGAGACCGACAUGAGGUUGAACCCUAAGGUCUCAACAAGCAUGACUUUGUCCAUGUGUCGAUCCUUUGAGAUUGCAACCUUACCUAGACCCAAUACCUUGCUUUUGCCUUUGUCAGCGUAGGUGAUAUGCUUUAGAUGCGAUGGAGAUAAAGCAAUGUCCAUCAAUAAGCUCAUGUCACCAGUCAUGUGAUUUGUACAUCCACUAUCGAGGACCCACUCAGUGGCUUUGGGUUGAUCAUCUUGCAGAUGAAUUAGUGCAGCUUAUGAACUCAUAUACUUCAUCUGUGAAGAAUAUGAUAUCAAAUUCAUCAGAUCAAUUUCAUCAAGCGAUAGAACAGGUAAAGUAGUAUGAGGACUUUAGAAAUGAAAAUUCAUUUCUUCAUGAUUAGCUUGCGUCCUUUCAAGUAUAUUUAGGUCUCCAGCAAAUUCUUCAGACGUUUAGGUUCGUCUGGAGACUUGACCCUGCAUAAGAGAUUAGUUCUUUUUCUUCACCACCCACAUAUGAAGUGGUGGUAAAGAGUUCAUUAUUCCACGAGCUCCAUAAGAGAAAGGUGGCAUAGAUGCCAAUCCACUUCGUUUCACAUAAGAGGGGUUAGGGUAAGCAUAUGAGUAAGCAAAGAAAUUCUUCGAGGAUUUAUGAACAUAAUGAUUUGAAGAAUAAUGACACAUAGCCAUAACCCUUAGCCUUUCCCUGCGAAAUAGAGGUGUUAGCACGAUGAUGUUCAUAUGAGGACUUUGAUCCAUGUGAGGAAUGUGGUCCAUAUGAGGACUUGGAUCCAUAUGAAGACUUUGGUCCAUAUGAAGAAUUUGAUCUGGGGUUCCUUUUAUUCACAUGUGGUGUCAUGAUGACAUUCACCUAAAGACUUUCAAGGCACCUUUUGGAAACCCAGAUUUUCUUCAUAGGAGGACCGUUCCUGCAGUUAGUGCCAACAUAUCUAGCAAAUACUUCACCAUUCUGAUUUUGAAUAGUUUAUAAUUGGAGUCAAAUGACUCAUUAGAAGAAUAUGAAGAUUCACAUGUAAAGCUAGAUAAAGUAGAUGGAUCCAUUGAAGGUCCCGUUGCAGCAACCCAUGAGGUUUUGGGAUAUUGCUCAGGCUUCUAGUAGGUCCCAUCAGCAUUGAGUUUUCUCUCAAAGGCAAUACCCUCUUUUCUAGGGUUCCUGUUGAGGAUCUGCUUCUUAAGCACAUCACAAAGAGCCUGAUGCCCUUUGAGGCUUUUGUACAUGCCUGUCACAUACAAUUCCUUCAGCCCUACAUGGUCAGUCAUACUAGCAGCAUCCUCAGAUGAGGAAUUAGUGACAGCAUAGUCAGGUGAAGAAUUUGCAGCAAUAGAAGCAUUUGAACUUUCAGGUGAAGAAUUAGCAGAUUCACGUUCAAUGCACUUCAAACAUGGAGGAAUAAAUUCUUCCUAAGUAGCGCUGAUUUGUUGAGAAAGUAAUGAAUCACGCUCCUUUUGAAGAUCUUCAUAACUUACUCUUAACUUCUCAAGAUCUUGCUUUCUCUGAAGAAAUUCAUAAGAAAGCUUCUCAUGAUCAGAUAAGAGUGUUAUGAUGACUCUGAAGAUUAUCAAACUUAGUUUGAAGUCUCUGAAGAUUUUCAGUCAAAGUUUUAGUGCGAUCCAUUUCUUCACCCAACAUAUCAUUGCUUUUGUCUAGCAUAUUUUGAACCUUUUCAAGAGCCUUUUGUUGUUUCACAGCAAUCUUAGCAAGUUUAGAAUAGCUAGGCUUGAGGUUUUCAUCAGAUUCAUCCUCACUUGAUUCAGAGGAGGGAUAUUUGAGUACCUUUGCACCUUUUGCCAUGAAGCAAUAGGUGGGAGCGUAGUCAUCAUCAUCAUCGUCAGUGGUGUUGGGGAGGUCCUUUUCCUCAGAGUUGAAGAUGGACUUGUUGAUGAAUGCAGCAGCGAGGGCUAGGCUCUCCACACCAAAGUCUGACUCCUCAGAUGCCUCCUCUUCCUCAUUUUCCUCAAAUUCAGCCUCAGAGUCCAUUUCCUUGCCAAUGAAUGCCCGAGCCUUCUUGGAGCUGCUCUUCUUGUGAGAUGAAGACCUUGAAGGUUUUGAUGAAGAGGACUUUGAAGAUUUCUUCUUCUUCUUUGAAUCAUCAGAACUGUAGUCCUUGUACUUCUUCUUCUUUGAUUCCUUUUCCCACUGAGGACAAUCUUGAAUGUACUGACCGGGUUUCUUGCAUUUGUGGCAAAGUCUCUUCUUGUAAUCACGGGAUGGGGAAUCUAAUCUUAAGUCAUCACUUCUUGAGGAUUUUCCAAAACGACCACGUCUUGAGAACUUCUGAAAUUUCCUCACGAGCAUUGCUAGCUCUUGUCUUAGUUCUUCAGGAUCACCAAGGCUGCUACCAGAAUCUUCACCUUCAGAUUCAGACACUGCCUUGGCCUUUAGAGCUCGUGAUCUUCCAUAGCUCGAUCCAUAGAGAUCUCUCUUCUCGGCAAGCUGGAACUCAUGAGUGUUUAGCCUCUCGAGGAUAUCAGCGGGAUCAAGUGACUUCUAGUCUCCAUGUUCUUGUAUCAUCAUUGCAAGGGUGUCAAAUGAGGAAUCAAGCGAUCAAAGCAAUUUCUUCACCACCUCGUCGUAGGUGAUGUCAGAGGCACCAAGUGCUUGAAGCUCAUUUGAAAUGCCAGUGAGGUGAUUGAAGGUUUGCUGAACAUUUUCAUUGUCAAGUCUUUUGAAGAGGUUGAAGAGAUUGCGAAGAACGUCUACUCAAGAUUCACGCUGUGUUGAGACUCCUUCAUUGACCUUGGACAGCCUGUCCCAGGUAAGCUUUGUUGUCUCCAAAGCACUCACUCUGCCAUACUACCCUUUGCUCAGAUGGCCACAUAUGAUGUUCUUUUCUUGAGAGUCGAGUUGCUUGAAUCUCUUCACAUCAUCAGCAUUGAUGGUAGGAGUGAUAGAGGGAAUGCCAUUUUCCACAACGUACUAGAGAUCGUUGUCAAUUGCCUCAAGAUGCAUUCGCAUCUUAUUAUUCCAGUAGGGGUAGUCUUUCCCAUCGAAGGUAGGAAACCCAGCAGAGACCUUGCUCAUACCCGUAGUCGACAUAACUAAAACUCCAGGCGGUUAAACCAAAAUCACAUAGAACAAGGGAGUACCUUGCUCUGAUACCAAUUAAAAGUGCGUUAAGUCGACUAGAGGGGGGAGGGGUGAAUAAGCGAUUUUUGUGAAUUCUUCCCUAAGGAAUUUCAGGGUGAGGAAAUUCCUAAGUGAAGAACUACUUGCAGCGGAAUAAGUACUCAGAUGCAGACAUGACAUAACAUAAGUAUGGACAUCAUGAUGAAUGGAAAACAAACACAGAGUACAGAAAGCGUAAGCACAUGAUAAAACAGAAUGAAGACAAACAGACUGGAGAAAAUGAACUGAGGAAACUGAGAAUGUCUUCAGUCAAAGUAUUCAAACAGAUAUGAACAGGUACACAACACAGUAAUGAAGAACUGAAAGGGUUGAGGAAAUAGAACCAGCUAGCUCGAUGAAGACAGAGAUUUGGUAGACCAGUUCCAACUGCUGGGACAGUUGUACGUCUGGUUAGAGUGGCUAGGUAUUUAAACCUGAGGACACACAGUCCUCACCAUAUUCUCCUUGAACUAAGGUCACACAGACCUCAUCCAAUCACUCGUGGUAAGUCUUCAGGUGACUUCCCAACCUUCACAAACUCGGUCACCCGGCGAUCCACAAUUUCCUCUUGGAUGCUCUAGACCUUGACACCUAACUGUCUGGAGGAUGCACCGUCCUCAAAGGUAACAAGCAUCGGUUCCACACAGGAACAAUCUCUUCAGUGAUGCUCAAUCACUUUGGGUUUGUAGGUGUUUGGGUUUGGUUUUUUGGUUUUUCCUCACUUGAUGAUUUUCGCUCAAAGUCCUAGAAGGAUGGGAUGCUCUUAAUGACAAGUGUCAGUUUCUCGCGGAGCAGCCAACCAGCUAGUGGUUGUAGGGGGCGGCUAUUUAUAGCCAGGGAGCAGCCCGACAUGAUAAGACAUAAAUGCCCUUCAAUGAUAUGACUGUUAGGUGGGUAGAUAUUUUGGGACAGCUGGCGCGUAGCACAACAACGGGCGGAAAUUUUAGGCUCAAAUUCCUCAGGGCUAUCAUGUUCCUCACUUGUAGGAAAUCCGCACUGGCGAAUUCCUAACUCCUCAGUCAGGACAAAUUCCUCAGAGACCAGAAGAACUACGUCUCUAUCACUUAAGAAAUUGACUGAACUGUAUGAGAUUUCCAAUGGCUUCACUCGAAGGGAUUGGUAGGUGUAGGAUUUUGAGUUGAGCAUCACCUGGAAACUUUUCCUUAGUUUUACCUCGACCCCCUUCAACAGUACGGUGUUUCCUAUGACGCAAGAAAGAGAAAAUGAAAAUACGAAAACAAAAUUCUUCACACUUCAUGUUCCUCACAUGAAUAUCAAGUCUUCACGGUCACACCAAUUUCUUCACUUUCGGAGUCUUUAGAAAGUCUUCAAAAAUCCAAAGUCUUCAGUUGAAGACAUUCAUUAUUAGGGGUCGACUUUCUCUGUAAAUAUCAAACUCCUCAUAGACUUAUAGACCUGUGUACACUCACAAACGCAUCAGUCUCUUAACCUAUAACUCUUCAAUACACCAAAAUCACUAAGGGGCACUAGAUGCACUUACAUGCUUACCAGCAACGUCUUACUUUGAUUCGGUGGUAUUGUUGGAUGAAGCGGCCCAGACGGACAUUACAUGACCGCGUUCAUGAGACUGGUUCUACCGACGUGCUUCGCACACAGGUGGCUAGUGGGUGUCUGUUUCUCCAAGUUUAGUUGAAUCGAGUUUGACUACGCCCGAUCCUUGUUGAAGGUUAAAACAGCACACUUGACGAAAAAUCGUUGUGGUUUUGAUGCGUAGGUAAGAACGGUUCUUGCUAGAAGCUCGUAGCAGCCACAUAAAACUUGCAACAACAAAGUAGAGGACGCCUAACUUGUUUUUGCAGGGCAUGUUGUGAUGUGAUAUGGUCAAGACGUGAUGAUAUAAAUUGUUGUAUGAGAUGAUCAUGUUUUGUAAUAGUUAUCGGCAACUGGCAGGAGCCACAUGGUUGUCGCUUUAUUGUAUGAAAUGCAAUUUCCAUGUAAUUGCUUUACUUUAUCACUAAGCGGUAGCGACAGUCGUAGAAGCAACAGUUGGCGAGACGGCAAUGAUGCUACGAUGGAGAUCAAGGUGUCUAGCUGGUGACGAUGGUGAUCAUGACGGUGCUUUGGAGAUGAAGAUCAAAGGCACAAGAUGAUGAUGAUGACCAUAUCAUAUCACUUAUUUUGAUUGCAUGUGAUGUUUAUCCUUUAUGCAUCUUAUUUUGCUUAGUACGGCGGUAGCAUUAUAAGAUGACCCCUCACUAAAUUUCAAGGUACAAGUGUUCUCCCUGAGUAUGCACCAUUGCUACAGUUCUUCGUGCCGAGACACCACGUUAUGAUCGCGUGUGAUAAGCUCUACGUUCACAUACAACGGGUGCAAGCUAGUUUUGCACACGCAGGAUACUCGGGUUAAACUUGACGAGCCUAGCAUAUGCAGAUAUGGCCUCGGAACACUGAGACCGAAAGGUCAAGCAUGAAUCAUAUAGUAGAUAUGAUCAACAUAGUGAUGUUCACCAUUGAAAACUACUCCAUCUCACGUGAUGAUCGGACAUGGUUUAGUUGAUAUGGAUCACGUGAUCAUUUAGCUGGCCAGAGGGAUGUCUAUCUAAGUGGGAGUUCUUAAGUAAUAUGAUUAAUUGAACUUUAAUUUAUCAUGAACUUAGUCCUGAUAGUAUUUGCAUAUCUAUUUUGUAGAUCAAUAGCUCGCGUUGUAGCUCCCCUAUGUUUUUGAUAUGUUCCUAGAGAAAACUAAGUUGAAAGAUGAUAUUAGCAAUGAUGCGGACUGGGUCCGUGAUCUGAGGAUUAUCCUCGUUGCUGCAUAGAAGAAUUAGGUCCUUGAUGCACUCCUAGGUGACAGACCUAUUGCGGGAGCAGAUGUAGACAUUAUGAAUGUUUGACAAGCUCAGUAUGAUGACUACUUGAUAGUUUAGUGCACCAUGCUUUACGGCUUAGAAUCGGGACUUAAAAACGUUUUGAACGCCAUGGAGCAUAUAAAAUGUUCCAAGAGCUUCCCCAUGGGUGUUCUUCGUCUCCCCAAAAAAAUAAUUGAGCAAUUGGACAAGAUACGACGGCAUUGCCUCUGGAUCAAGAAAAUAGGUGAUGGAGACAAGUGCAACUCUUUAGCUGCUUGGGACAUGGUUUGUCGCCCUAAGGAGAAAGGUGGUUUGGGCAUUCUUAAUCUCAAAGUCCAAAAUGAUGCUUUGCUGCUCAAACUUCUACACAAAUUCUACAACCAGAUGGACAUACCUUGGGUCAAGUUGAUUUGGGAUACAUAUUUUGUGGACACAAUCCCGCAUGCAUCGCCCCCUUGUGGCUCUCAUUGGUGGCGUGAACUGAUGAAGCCCAUGCCAACAUACAGAGGCGUAACCAAAAUCCAAAUUCGUAGUGGUGAGACUGCCCUAUUUUGGUAAGACGACUGCUGCAACCAUAUCUUCGAAGAAAAAUUUCCUAGGGCCUUCUCCUAUACCUUGAGCGAAGAUACCUCGGUCCAUGGGAUGCUUACUAUAUCCAAAGUCAGUGAAGCCUUUCACCUCCCCCUCUCAACUCAAGCCCAUGAUGAGCUUAAAAAGAUCCAAAGUGAGGUCUCCUCCACCGCACUCUCGGAUGGGAAAGAUAUUUGGAUUUGCACCUGGGGAUCGUCGAUGUUCAAGACUAUGUCAUACUACAAGUUCUGUUUUCGAGAGUUUCAAGUCCACGAGGCAUUUAAAUGGCUCUAGAAAGCAAAAAGUGUCCCCAAGAUCAAAGUCUUGGUUGGUUUCUGCUGGUGGACCGUCUUAACACACACAACAUGCUCAGCAGGAGGCACUGUAACAUUGGGACCAACCUUGACUGUCUGCUUUGUGGUGAACACAUGGAAGAAACCCUUGAGCACCUCUUCUUUCACUCCAACUUUAGCAAACAAUGCUGGCUCAAGCUCAACAUCACGGGAGAUCGGUUUCAUAUGAUGAAACACCUCAAGAUGAGGAAUCAGCGUAAAAUGAUCAUGGACACCUUCCUAGUCGCCACGUGGAGCCUAUGGAAGGAAAGAAAUAAUAAGUACUUUCGGAAAGUGGCCCCUUCGGUUGACAGUUGGCAAGCCAGAUUUAAAAAAGACUUUGCCAACAUUGCUUAUAGACUCCCUGUAGAUAAGAGACAUCUCGUUUCUGCCAUCCUAGCUUAUGUUCCUUAAUUAGAUUAACUUUUUAGCUCUCUGACUAUUCUUUGUAACAGCUUAAGACACUCCCCCACUCCCUUGUACAUUUGUAACAUAUACACCCAUUUUUGGGGCCUUUAAUAUAUCCAUGCAAUAGGACGUGCUCCUACUGUCCAACUUACAAAAAAAGAGAGCUGAAAUUGGUCUUUUAGACUCAUGCCCGAGUCGAGAGGUAUGAGACCUCUGACAAGUAUUUUGCCUACAAGAUGGAGGAGAAUAGCUCAACCAGUGAGCAUGUGCUCAAAAUGUCUGAGUACUACAAUCGCUUGAAUCAAGUGGGAGUUAAUCUUCCAAAUAAGAUAGUGAUUAAUAGAGUUCUCUAGUCACUAUCACCACGUUACUGGAACUUCAUGAUGAACUAUAAUAUGCAAGGGAUGACGAAAACGAUUCCCUGAGCUCUUCGCAAUGUUGUAAUCAGCAAAGGUAGAAAUCAAGAAAAGCAUCAAGUGUUGAUGGUUGACAAGGCCACUAGUUUCAAGUAAAAGGGCAAGGGAAAGAAAGGGAACUUCAAGAAGAAUGGCAAGCAAGUUGCCACUCCCAUGAAGAAGCCCAAAGCUAGACCCAAGCCUGAAACUGAGUGCUUCUACUGCAAAGGAAAUGGUCACUGGAAGCGGAACUACCCCAAAUACUUGGCGGAUAAGAAGGAUGGCAAAGUGAACAAAAGUAUAUAUGAUAUACAUGUUAUUGAUGUGUACUUUACUAGUGUUCAUAGUAGCCCCCGGGUAUUUGAUACUGGUUCAGUUGCUAUGAUUAGUAACUUGAAACAGGAGUUACAAAUGAACAGAGACUAGUUGAGGGCGAGGUGACGAUGUGUGUUGGAAGUGAUUCCAAGGUUGAUAAGAUCACCAUCGCACACUCCCUUUACCUUCGGGAUUAGUGUUGAACCUGAAAUAAAUUUUGUUUGGUGUUUGCGUUGAGCAUAAUAUGAUUGGAUCAUGUUUAUUGCAAUAUGGUUAUUCAUUUAAGUCAAAGAAUAAAUGUUAUUCUAUUUACAUGAGUAAAACCUUCUAUGGUCAUUGAUACGUCUCCAACGUAUCUAUAAUUUUUUAUUGUUCCAUGCUAUAUUAUAUUCUGUUUUGGACAUUAUUGGGCUUUAUUAUACACUUUUAUAUUAUUUUUGGGACUAACCUAUUAACCGAAGGCCCAGCCCAGAAUUGUUUUUUUGCCUAUUUUAGGGUUUCACAGAAAAAGAAUAUCAAAUGGAGUCCAAACGGAAUGAAACCUUCGGGAACGUGAUUUUCGGAACGAACAUGAUCCAGAGGACUUGGACCCUACGUCAAGACAUCAACCAGGAGGCCACGAGGUAGGGGAGCUCGCCUACCCCCUUGGGCGUGCCCUCCACCCUUGUGGGGCCCCUGUUGCCCACCGACGUACUCCUUCCUCCUAUAUAUACCUACGUACCCCCAAACUACCAGAUACGGAGCCAAAACCCUAAUUCCACCGCCGUAACUUUCUGUAUCCAUGAGAUCCCAUCUUGGGGCCUAUUCCGGAGCUCCGCUGGAGGGGGCAUCGAUCACGGAGGGCUUCUACAUCAACACUAUAGCCCUUCCGAUUAAGUGUGAGUAGUUUACCUCAGACCUACGGGUCCAUAGUUAUUAGCUAGAUGGCUUAUUCUCUCUUUUUGCAUCUCAAUACAAAGUUCUCCCCCUCUCUUGUGGAGAUCUAUUCGAUGUAAUCUUCUUUUGCGGUGUGUUUGUUGAGACCGAUGAAUUGUGGGUUUAUGAUCAAGUUUAUCUAUGAAUAAUAUUUGAAUCUUCUCUGAAUUCUUUUAUGUAUGAUUGGUUAUCUUUGCAAGUCUCUUCGAAUUAUUAGUUUGGUUUGGCCUACUAGAUUGAUCUUUCUUGCAAUGGGAGAAGUGCUUAGCUUUGUGUUCAAUCUUGCGGUGUCCUUUCCCAGUGACAGUAGGGGCAGCAAGGCACGUAUUGUAUUGUUGCCAUCAAGGAUAACAAGAUGGGGUUUAUUUCAUAUUGCAUGAGUUUAUCCCUCUACAUCAUGUCAUCUUGCUUAAAGCGUUACUCUGUUCUCUUGGACUUUAUACUCUAGAUGCAUGCUGGAUAGCGGUCGAUGUGUGGAGUAAUAGUAGUAGAUGCAGGCAGGAGUCGGUCUACUUGUCUCGGACGUGAUGCCUAUAUACAUGAUCAUACCUAGAUAUUCUCAUAAUUAUGCUCAAUUCUGUCAAUUGCUCAACAGUAAUUUGUUUACCCGCCGUGAAUACUUAUGCUCUCGAGAGAAGCCACUAGUGAAACCUAUGGCCCCCGGGUCUAUCUUCCAUCAUAUUAAUCUUCCAAUACUUAGUUAUUUUUAUUGCCUUUUAUUUUACUUUGCAUAUUUAUCAUAAAAAUACCAAAAAUAUUAUCUUAUCAUAUCUAUCAGACCUCACUCUCAUAAGUGACCUUGUAGGGAUUGACAAACCCUUAUCGCGUUGGUUUCAAGGAUUUAUUUGUUUGUGUAGGUACGAGGGACUUGUGCAUGGCCUCCUACUGUAUUGAUACCUUGGUUCUCAAAAACUGAGGGAAAUACUUACGCUACUUUUCUGCACCACCCUUUCCUCUUCAAGGGAAAACCAGCGGAAGUGCUCAAGAGGUAGCAGUCAUACACCCAAGGUGAAUGGUUUAUUGAAUCUCGAUCAUAGUGAUACACAUAUUCAUAAUACUGAUGCCAAAAGAGGCAAAGUUAAUAAUGAUAUUGCAACAUAUUUGUGGCACUGCCGUUUAGGUCAUAUUGGUGUAAAGCGCAUGAAGAAACUCCAUGUGAAUGGACUUUUGGAAUCACUUGAUUAUGAAUUAUUUGAUGCUUGCGAACCAUGCCUCAUGGGCAAGAUGACUAAGACUCCGUUCUCCGGAACAAUUUAGCGAGCCACUGACUUAUUGGAGAUAAUACAUACCGAUGUAUGCGGUCCUAUGAGUGUUGAGGCUCGCGACAGGUAUCGUUAUUUUCUGACCUUCACAGAUGAUUUGAGCAGAUAUGGGUAUAUCUACUUAAUGAAACACAAGUCUAAAACAAUUGAAAAGUUCAAAGAAUUUUAGAGUGAAGUGGAGAAUCAUCGUAACAAGAAAAUAAAGUUUCUACGAUCUGAUCGCGGAGGCAAAUGUUUGAGUUACGAGUUUGGCCUUCAUUUAAAACAAUGUGGAAUAGUUUCACAACUCACGCCACCUGGAACACCACAGUGUAAUGGUGUGUCUGAACGUCGUAACCGUGCUUUAUUAGAUAUGGUGCAAUCUAUGAUGUCUCGUACCGAUUUACCACUAUCGUCUUGGGGUUAUGCACUAGAGACAGCUGCAUUCAUGUUAAAUAGGGAACCAUCUAAUCUGUUGAGACGACACCGUAUGAACUUUGAUUUGGCUAGAAACCAAAGCUAUCGUUUCUUAAAGUUUGGGAUUGUGGUGCUUAUGUGAAAAAGUUUCAAACUGAUAAGUUCGAACCCAAAUCAGAGAAGUGCAUCUUCAUAGGAUACCCAAAAGGAAACUAUUUGGUACACCUUCUAUCACAGAUCCGAAGGCAAGAUUUUUGUUGCUAAGAAUGGAUCCUUUCUAGAGAAGCAAUUUCUCUCGAAAGAAGUGAAUGGGAGGAAAGUAGAACUUGAUGAGGUAAUUGUACCUUCUCUUGAAUUGGAAAGUAGCUCAUCACAGAAAUCAGUUCCAGUGAUGCUUACACCAACUAGUGAGGAAGCUAAUGAUAAUGAUCAUAAAACUUUAGAUCAAGUUACUACCGAACCUCAUAGGUGAGUACGUUCCGCACCAGAGUGGUACGGUAAUCCUAUUCUGGAAAUCAUGUUACUAGACCAUGAAAAACCUACGAACUAUGAGGAAGCGAUGAUGAGCCCAGAUUCCGUGAAAUGGCUUGAGGCCAUGAAAUCUGAGAUGAGAUCCAUGUAUGAGAACAAAGUGUGGAGUUUGGUUGACUUGCCCGAUGAUCGGCAAGCCAUUGAGAAUAAAUGGAUCUUCAAGAGGAAGACGGACACUGAUAGUAGUGUUACUAUCUACAAAGCUCAAAUUGUCGCAAAGAGUUUUCGGCAAGUUCAAGGUGUUGACUACGAUGAGAUUUUCUCACUCGUAGUGAUGCUUAAGUCUGUCCAAAUCAUGUUAGCAAUUGCCACAUUUUAUGGAAUCUGGCAAAUGGAUGUCAAAACUCCAUUCCUUAAUGGAUUUCUUAAAGAAGAGUUGUAUAUGAUGCAACAAGAAGGCUUUGUCAAUUCUAAAGGUGCUAACAAAGUAUGCAAGCUCCAGCGAUCCAUUUAUGGACUGGUGCAAGCAUCUCGGAGUUGGAAUAUGUGCUUUGAUGAGUUGAUCAAAGCAUAUAGUUUUAUACAGACUUGCGGUGAAGCCUGUAUUUACAAGAAAGUGAGUGGGAGCACUAUAACAUUUCUGAUAAGUAUAUGUGAAUGACAUACUGUUGAUCGGAAAUAAUGUAGAAUUUUCUGGAAAGCAUGAAGGAGUGUUUGAAAGGAGUUUUUUCAAAGAAAGACCUCGGUGAAGCUGCUUACAUAUUGAGCAUCAAGAUCUAUAGAGAUAGAUCAAGACGUGUCAGGGGUUUGGUGCGACAUAUGCCAACGGAUGGCUUAUCAUGGUGGGGGCGAGUAGAACGUCGCCGGUGCCUGGAAACGGGAUGAGGCGAAGACAUGCACGCCGGCGAAUCUUACCCAGCUUCAGGGCUCUCCGGGGAGAUAAUACCCCUACUGGUGCUCUGCGGGGUCUCCGUGUGAUCACUAUAGUCAAGGAUUUACACGGUUGCUCCUUGAGCUGUGUAUGGUGGUAGGAGAGGGCAAGGCUCGCUCUCUCCCUCUAUCUGGUGAGGUAUCUAACUUCUGGGAUCCAACCCUUUGCAUGGGUGCCCUGGGGGGUUUAUAUAGGCCUACCCCCCCCCCCAGGGGUACAAUGGUAAUGUGACUGGGCGCGGGCCCAGCCGUCAGUGUCUCCGUCCUCCGACUUCUCCGCCGACUGAUGGGGCCCGCUGACUGGUGGGCCACACCGACUGGUCUGGUACGGAGCCGACAGGCCGCGUCCACCGCGGGCGGGUCUUGCCUGCUGCUGAUUACUGUAGCCGUGCUCCUGAUGAUGCAAGCUUGGUCAUGGGGUCGUGGCAACAGCCCCGCCGCCUGGCGGGCGAUCACUGUGGCCACUCCCCAUCUCUUCUUGAUUAAUGGCGCGUGGGCCCGGGGGAGGGCUCGGCCGACUCCCCUGGGCCGACUCCCGUUGGGUCCGACUGGCGAUGCCCCUGCCGUCUCCCGAGGUCUUGCUGGCUGGUGGGCCCUGCUGCCUCCAGGCCAUACAGACAAGCCGUCGUGGGCACAGGACUAGGAACAGUGAUGCUGAUGUCAGGGCCGGCUGGGCAACAGUGCCACACCGCGGGGAGAUCUUCCCAAGUACGGCGCGCUGUAGCCAUGCCUGCCCUUAGUAAGGGGCGGGGAGUGGGCUUUAUUGUAGCCACACCCCUGCCCCGUCCCUCUCGAUGAGGUCACGGUUUGUUGGAGUCACCGGCCGACUCCCUAAAGCCGGCUUCUCUGGAAGUCGUCCCUGGGACUCGGCCGUGGGCAGUCGGCCGCCUUGCCGUAGACUCCCCAGGAGGUGGCUCUUCGCCCUGUGGUCUUGAGGGGCGCAGCCUGCCCCGAUAUCUUGAAAGGUCGCGAGGCUCGGGUUGGCCUACCCGUGGCCCAUUACUCCGACAAGAUGCUUGAUAAUUUUUUUCAAUGAGUACAUACCUUGACAAGAUUUUGAAGUAGUUGAAAAAGGAAUAGUCAAAGAAAGAGUUCUUGCCUAUGUUGCAAGGUGUGAACCUGAGUAAAGACUCAAAACCCGACCAUGGCAGAAAAUAGAAAGAGAAUGAGAAGUCAUUCCCUAUGCCUCAGUCAUAGGUUCUAUAAAGUAUGCUAUGUUGUGUACCAGACCUAUUGUGUACCUCACCACGAGUUUGGCAAAAGGGUACAAUAGUGAUCCAGGAGUGGAUCACUAGACAACGUUCAAAAUUAUCCUUAGUGGAAUAAGGACAUGUUUCUCGGUUAUGGAGGUGACAAAAAAAAUCGUUGUAAAGGGUUACGUCGAUGCAAGCUUUGACACUGAUCCAGAUUACUCUAAGUCUCAAUUUGGAUACAUAUUGAAAGUGGGAGCAAUUAGCUAGAGUAGCUCCGUGCAGAGUAUUGUAGACAUAGAAAAUUUGCAAAAUACAUCUGGAUCUGAAUGUGGCAGACCCAUUGACUAAACUUCUCUCACAAGCAAAACAUGACCACACCUUAGUGCUCUUUGGGUGUUAAUCACAUAGCAAUGUGAACUAGAUUAUUGACUCUAGUAAACCCUUUGGGUGUUGGUCACAUGGUGAGGGAGUCCUGGAUUAGGGGGUCUCCGGACAGCCGGACUAUAUCCUUUGGCCGGACUGUUGGACUAUGAAGAUACAAGAUUAAAGACUUCGUCCCGUGUCCGGAUGGGACUCUCCUUGGCGUGGAAGGCAAGCUAAGCAAUACGGAUAUGUAGAUCUUCUCCCUUGUAACCGACCUUGUGUAACCCUAGCCCCCUCCGGUGUCUAUAUAAACUGGAGGGUUUAGUCCGUAGGACAACAUACAAUCAUACCAUAGGCUAGCUUCUAGGGUUAGCCUCUACGAUCUCGUGGUAGAUCAACUCUUGUAAUACUCAUAUCAUCAAGAACAAUCAAGUAGGAAGUAGGGUAUUACCUCCAUCAAGAGGGCCCGAACUUGGGUAAACAUCUUGUCCCCCGCCUCCUGUUACCAUCCGCCUUAGACGCAUAGUUCGGUACCCCCUACCCGAGAUCCGUCGGUUUUGACACCGACAUUGGUGCUUUCAUUGAGAGUUCCACUGUGUCGUCACCAUAAGGCUUGAUGGCUGCUUCGAUCAUCGGUAGCGAUGCGGUCCAGGGUGAGGUUUUCCUCCCCGGACAGAUCUUUGUAUUCGGCGGCGGCGCACUGCGGGCCAAUUCGCUUGGCCAUCUGGAACAGAUCGAGAGCUACGCCCCUGGCCAUCAGGUUAGAUUCGGAAACUUGAACUACACGACCGAUAUCCGUGGAGACUUGAUCUUCGACGGAUUUGAGUCCAUGUCAGGUGUGCCGCACAUUCACGACGAGCAUAACAUAACUCUGCUGUCGGACAGUAUUCGGGAGAUCGCAUCUACAACUACUCCGGCCGUCAAUCCGGAGCAAAUCGCGCCAUCCGAGAGCGGAGGGAUAGACCCCGCCACGGAGGCCGCGCUCUCAGCAGCGAUAGAGACGGAUGCCGACUUCACCCCUUACGAGAGCCGUGUCACCGAACCACUGGAUUCAUCCCCGGCCACGGACUCCGAGUCACUUACAUAUGUGCCCGUCGAACCCGACUGGGCGCCGAUCAUGGAGUUCACCUCCGCGGAUAUGUUUCAGCACUCACCUUUCGGCGAUGUGCUAAAUUCAUUAAGGUCUCUCUCCUUGUCAGGAGAACCUUGGCCGAACUAUGUCCGGCUAGAAUGGGAUGCGGACGACGAAGGAAUUCGCUGCCCACCCACCACCCACUUAGUAGCCACUUUCGACGAUUUAACCGACAUGCUCGACUUUGACUCCGAAGACUUCGACUGUAUGGACGACGAUGCAGGAGACGAACAGGAACCACCAUCCACAGGGCGCUGGACCGCCACCUCAGCAUAUGAUAUAUACAUGGUGGACACCCCCAAAGAAGGCAAUGGCGACGAGACAGCGGAGGAUGACCCCUCCAAGAAGCAACCCAAGCGACGACGUCAGCGGCGCCGCUCUAAGUCCCGCCACAGCAAAAGUAGUGAUACCGGCACAGGAGAUAAUAACACUUCGGAUAGUGCCGAAGACAACAACAAUCCCCUCCAGCACGAUGCAGAGCCGGAGGACGAACAAGCUAGCCCUCCAGAGUGGGCAGCAGAUGGAGAACCGGAGGAGGACAAUUACAUGCCUCUCUCCGAAGACGAGGCGAGCCUCGGCGGCAAAGAAUUUAUCGUGCCUGCGGACCCCGUCAAGCAAGAGCGCUUCAAGCGCCGGCUUAUGGCCAUGGCAAAUAGCCUGAAGAAAAAGCAGCAACAACUUCAAGCUGAUCAAGACUUGCUAGCAGACAGAUGGACCGAAGUCCUUACGGCCGAGGAGUACGAACUCAGGCGCCCCUCCAAGAGUUACCCAAAACGCAGGUUGCUACCUCACCUCGAGGAGGAAGCAAUGAAACCUCAUUCACCAGUGUACGAUGCGGCUGACCGGCCACUGCGUGGCCGAGCCAGAGAGGCAUUUCAGCCUGAAGUUCAACCUGCACCCCGCCGCCACUCAAUCAAAAAUACUAAGGCCCGGGGCAACACAGGGGACCUACGAGCCGUAUUGGACAAUAAGGCAAAAAUCGCAAGGUCAAUAUACGGGUCACGGGCACGCGCGCCAACACGGGACGAUGAUCAUCGCGUCGGAUACACCAAGACUAAAUCCGGCUGGGCCGAAUACAGCAGACAAGACUCAUAUGAACUGCAUCGGGAUAUAGCCCGGCAUAGAGGCGCCGCACACCCCCUAUGCUUCACCGAUGAAGUUAUGAAUCACGAAUUCCCAGAGGGUUUCAAACCCGUAAAUAUCGAAUCAUACGAUGGCACAACAGAACCCGCUGUAUGGAUUGAGGAUUUCCUCUUUCACAUUCACAUGGCUCGCGGUGAUGAUCUACAUGCCAUCAAGUACCUCCCACUAAAGCUCAAAGGACCAACUCGGCAUUGGCUGAACAGCUUGCGAGCAGACUCCGUGGGCAGUUGGGAGGAUCUGGAAGACGCAUUCCUGGAUAACUUCCAGGGCACUUAUGUGCGGCCACCGAAUGCUGGCCACGACAGGUGUGGGUGCCAAAGGGUGAUCCGGGCAGGAGGGGAAAUACGGAUGUCUUCAUUCGUGAUACGAGGCGGAAAACUACCUUAGUGUUUGAAUGCAUCUCUGACGACAUGAGUAGAUCAGCGGACCCCGACACCUGGUGCCGCCGGGGCCAAUGAAUAUCCUUGCCUGGAACUGUCGAGGCUUGGGGUUGGACUUGACAGUUGGCGAACUGCGUAACCUGAUUAGGUCCCACAACCCAGUGGUGGUUUUCUUGAGUGAAACUAAGAAGAGUGCAGGAGCGAUGGAAAAACUAAAAUGGAGUUUGGGUUUCAGAAGUGGAGUAGCGAUGAGCUGUGUGGGCAGAAGUGGUGGGCUUUCUCUGUGGUGGUGAGAACAUGUACAGGUAUCUAUUAGACCAUGGUGCCAAUAUUUUCUGGACGCCGCAGUGGUGGUUGGCGGUAAAACCUUUAGAAUCACCGGAUUCUACGGGGAACCGGACACUGAGAAGAGGAAAAAAUCUUGGGAUGCGUUAAGAUAUCUUCGAUCACAGGAUAAUCUUCCGUGGCUUUGUGCGGGCGACUUUAAUGAAGCUAUGUUUCAAUUUGACCAGCAAGGGGAAACAUGAGAAGUUUCUCGCAAAUGGAAGACUUCAGAGACUGUGCGGCGGAAUGUGGACUAGCGGACCUGGGGUUCUAUGGUUAUAGAUACUCAUGGGAUAACAGGAGAGAGGGUGAUGCAAACGUCCAGGUCCGGCUAGACCGUGCAAUGUGUACGGAUGAUUUUUUGGAUAUGUACCCGGAGACUCAUGUUGAGCAUAUUAUCACGGAGGAAUCUGAUCAUUUGACUCUGCUUGUGCAUGUGUUGGAGACGGCUCCAACACAUAGACAAAGGGAAGCGUUUCCGUUCAGGUUUGAGGAGGCUUGGACGAAACAUGAGGACUACGAGCGCAUGGUCGUGGACGCGUGGGUUUCAGCGAGCUUGGGAGCCAGAGGUUUAGCAGCGGUAUGGGAGAAGAUCCAUCUGGUUUCAGCGGACAUGCAGAGGUGGAGCCGGGCUGUGUUUGGGUCUAUUCGAAGACAAAUAUCAAAGCUCAAGAAACAGCUUGAAGAAGCAAAGCAGAGAGCGCUAGCGACGGGUAUUUCACUGGAGGUACGCGAGAUUGAAGGCCAACUAAGAGAUAUAUAUGCGAGAGAGGAGGUAUACUAUAGGCAGCGAUCGUGUGUGGAUUGGUUCAAGGAUGGUGAUCAAAACACCAAAUAUUUCCAGGGCCGGGCCUCACGCCGAAAAAGAAAAAAUACGGUACGAGUGUCAGGACCCCGACUCAAUGUCACAUCGAUCUAGCCUGUAACACCUCAUAUCACUUUGCGGCCUCACGCACGGUAUCCCCACGAGUGUCGCCUUACCUUUGCCCGGGACCGUUUGCGCCUUUUGGCUCACGUAUAUGAUAGUGUCGCUAGCAUCCAUAUGAUAAGGAGCCCGGGCUGACAUGACUAGUCGUAAACCCAAAGUGGCACAGACUUACAGGGACAGGCAUCCAUGACCCAGCAUUGAACAUGUCGGUCAUCAGCAAGUGGGUCCGGGCUGUAGCACUGGGCUAGCAGGACUCCGGUAAACCGGGCUGUAGCGGGCUAACAGGACUCCGGUACUCAAUGCGUGACAUUUCCCCGAAGGGACAGACACAGGAACGAAGAAGGACACAUGCCGGCCAGCCUAAGUGUCCCAGAGCAGUAGCAAGCUACCAUGGCUCAGUGGUAACACUAGGAGACAUUUCCCGGUAAGAGAGGCUACUAAAGAUAAACAACUAGAUAGUCAGAUCCCACACAUACCAAGCAUUUCAAUCAUACACACAAUAUGCUCGAUAUGUGCAAAUACAACAAGGCAUCACAACAUGACUCUACGACACAAGUACUUUAUUUAAGGCUCAGAGAGCCAUACAUAACAUACACAUAGUUACGGGUCACACGACCCAGCAUUCAAGUCAUACAGUCAUAAAAACCAGCAGCGGAAGUAACUUGUCUGGGUACAGACAACUAGUAAAAUAAAAGAGGCUUGGAAAGCCUAGCUAUACUACGUGGUCCUUCACAAGCUCAGGAUCACCACCUGGGCCUUAGCCUACUCAUUGAUGUCAACGUCUACGAAGAACCCAUCAGAAGGGGUUGCAGCGUCUUCUAUAAAAAUGUAAAUUAUAGCAACAUGAGUACAAAGGUACUCAGCAAGACUUACAUCAGAUCCUACAUACAUGCACAUUAUCAAAAAGGGUUGGUGGAGUUAUUGCAGCAAGCCAGCUUUGACUCUUGGCUAGGCUAUCCUACGAGACUCCAACUUGAAAUGGUUUUGCGCACACGAGUCCGCUACUCACCACUUCAAUACACUACCGAGGAUCCACCUCCGUCUUCCUACGGAAAAGCCAUCCUCGGCACUCACACUUAUCUUGAGGCUUUUAGUAGUUUCCAUUUACUUGUCUAUGAACUGUAUAGGCAACCAAGUAGUCCUUUACUGCAGACGCGACUAUUCGAAUAGAUCAUGAUAACCCUGCAGGGGUGUACUUCUUCAUACACGCUCUCACCACUUACCGUCGUUUACACGACAUGUACUCGGCAACCUUCAAGCGGAAGCCCAAUGUGGGUGUCGGCCACGACCUACCUAAUCACCUAAGUCUCUAAUCCAGGUUUAUCGCCUAUCCAGGUUCCAUUCGCAGGGAGUCCGGCCGAGGUUUCCCAUACGGCCCCGAACGAUGUGUACAGGGUUCCCGAGAUACCUAACGGGUAGUCGGUACACCGUGCCACGUACCUACCGCAUCACAGCCCACCCCUACGGUCAGCGCUGUCCACGGCCUCCAGUAGGCUACAAACACCAGAAACUACUUGCAACUCCUGGAUAGAGAACUAGGGUGAAUAAGAAGCCGAGAGGGUCCAUUGGUUUCGGGCCCAAUGUAUGGUAGUAGCUGAUUCUUAAAUCACACAUACAGAUCUCAGUGCUUAAGGUCGGCUUCAAUGAAACAACCCACCAUGUACUCCUACAUGGCCUCUCAUCGAUACCUUUACCAAAUCGUGUUCACCACACCACCCUCACUACCGACAUAAUCAUUUCACUCUAGCCCAUCACCCAGAUGAACCAGACCUGACACGACUCUAAGCAUAGCAGGCAUAGCAAGGUAGGAACAACACAUACAUAUGGCUCAAACAACUCCUACACAUGCUAGUGGGUUUCAUCUAGUUACUGUGGCAAUGACAGGUCAUGCAGAGGAAAUGGGUUCAACUACCGUAGCACAUAGCAGUUUGAAACGCGUUGUCUUAAUGCAGUAAAUGAGAGCAGGAGCGAGAACAUGGGAUUGUAUCGAUAUGAUCAAAUGGUUGGUUGCUUGCCUGAUGGUUCGAUGCACUGAUAUGGUUCUUCGUUAGGGUAAUCACGGUACUCCUCGGAGGCAGAACCUGCCGCAAAGAACACCGAUACACAGUCAUCACCAAACAAUGUGCGACAAUAUGAUGCAUGCAUGAAACAUGGCAAUAUGAGUGUGUUGGGCUAAUGCAACUAAGACCCAAAGGGUUUGAACCAAUUUGAACCAAAGAUUCAAAUUUCAAACUCAUACAUGGCCCCUUAAAGUGUUUUAUCUUGUUCUGCAUAAAACAGCAAGUUAACUUGUUUAAUCAUGCAUGAAAACAGUACAGAUGGAUAGAUUGGAUUUUUCUGAUCAUUUUUCAUAUAUAACUUGUCUGAUUUGGAGUUACAGAUUAAAAGUUAUGAAUUUUUGAAGUUUAAACUAUAUUCUGGAAUUUCCUAUAUUAGAAUAAAUCCAGAAAUUAAUUUAUUGCGUCAGCCAUGCGUCAGAAUGACGUCAGGGUCAAUGGAGACGUCCAGGUCAAACCUGACUGUGGGUCCAGGGUGUCAGGGUAAUUAGUUUAGUUUAAAGUUAAUUAAAACUAACCCUAUUUAGUUAACAGGGCUGGGCCCCACCUGUCAUUGACUCAUCGGGGUCAACCAGGGCCCACCCGCGGUCAAAGCCAGGUCGGCUGCGCCGGCGUUUAGCCGCCGGCGAGCCCGACGCGGCGGCGGAAGUGGUUUUUGCCGUUCCGGCAACCAAACGAGUUGCGGAGGCCAUCGGAGUGGAGCUGAGGACGAGCCGCAGCUCUUGGUGGAGUCCGUUGGGGUCGGGGUGGCCGGAGUUGGCGCCGGCGACGACUUUGGCGGCCACCAGAGUUCGGCCGAGGGCAAACUUGAUGCUAGAGGGGUCGGUGAGGUGCGGGGAGUAGCUGGUUAGGUGCUAUGUGACGUGGUGAGCAUGAUGGACACCAAGUUGUGGCCGGAGGGUGACUGGGAGCACGUCGGCGACGAGCUCCACGGCGGUGGGUGCGGUUGAGCUUCGGGCGGUCACUACACAGCUCGGGAGCAAGAAAAGAAGGGAGGGGAAGAUGGUUAAGCUCACGGGGAGUUCGACGAAGCACUUGGUACGGCCGGGGACGGGCCGGAGCGACGACGGCGUUGAAGGGGAUCUCCGGCGACGGCGGUUCGGUCGAGGUCGAUGCGGUGGGCUCGGGCCUUGCGAGCGCUCGGGGCUCGGCUUGCUCGAAGGAGAGGAGGGUGGCGGAGCUCCUGGACACGGCGGCACGGCGUGGGGUUGACGGAGGGCGUGGCUACGGCGAGGGGGUGGCGGCGAUGGCAUCGGCCAUGGCGGGGGAGCGCGAGAGAGAGGAGUUGGGGGAGAAUGGAGGUGUCCUGGGGGUUCACGGCUCGGCGUGGAGUUCAUCCAUCCAGCAACGAGGCGAGGAGGUGAAGCAGGGCGACGGCCAGCUGCGUGGCGCACGCUGCGGCCGCUGUCGGGCACCUGCCUGCCUGCCUGGCCGGCAAGCAGCUCGCUGGCGCGGCGCUGGGCUGGGCCGGCAGGUGGGCCGGGUGCUGGGCGCCAGGUAAGUUUUUUGUUAUUUCUCCUGUUUUCUGUUUUUUUAAUUCCUCUGCAACUUUGUUGAAUUAUUAAAAAUACUUAGGCAACUCCUAAAAUCACCAAACUACUCCUGGUCCAUAGUUGGAUUAUUUCCAACAUGAAACAUUUUAGUUUGGAGAUAUUUGAGCAUUUGAAAUAUUUUAUAUAAUUUUAAAUGCCCAAAUUCAAAUAUCUAUGAUUUAAUUCAAAGACCCUAAGAUGGCCUAGGAAAAUGUGCACCACUUUUGGCAGAGGUUCUGAACCAAGACAAAAAUGAUGGGCAUUUUAGAAGGGCAUUUCAGGUUCAUUGAAAAAGUUUUUAGUAAACCCUAGUUGGUUUCAGAGGGGGCUAGGGGUUCUGUCAUCCCCAUUUCAGGUUUCUGAUGAAAGAAUAGACAUGAUGCAACACUCUAAUGCAUGAACUAGCUAGGGUGUGACAACUCACCCCCACUCAAAAGAAUCUCGUCCCGAGAUUUGGGUUCCUCCGGAAAGAAGGCGGGAUACUCGAGUCGAAGACGAUCCUCCCUUUCCCAAGUUGCUUCAUCCUCAGAAUGGUGCGACCAUUGAACUUUGAGAAACUUGAUAUUAUGACGCCGAGUGGUACGCUCGGCCUGAUCGAGGAUACGAAUGGGGUACUCUCGAUACGUGAGAUUAUCUUGGAGAUCAAGCGUUUCGUGGUCCACUCCACGGAUAGGAUCCGAGAAGCAACGCCUGAGUUGAGAAACGUGGAAGACAUCGUGGACUCUGGAGAGAUGCGGAGGUAGUUCCAACUGGUAGGCAACUUCUCCUCGUUUAGCGAGAAUACGAAAAGGUCCAAUGUAACGGGGAGCCAAUUUGCCUUUGAUACCGAAACGAUGGGUUCCCUUCAGAGGAGUAACCCGAAGGUAAGCCUUCUCGUCAACCUCGAAAGUCAUAGCCUUAUGUUUUCGGUCAUAUUGACUCUUUUGACGAGAUUGGGCUGUUUUCAACUUUUCACGAACGAUGCGAACUUGCUCUUCUGCUUCCUGGAUCAUAUCCGGGCCAAAGAAUUGUCUUUCCCCGGUUUCUGACCAAUUAAGGGGUGUUCGACACCGUCGUCCAUAGAGAACUUCAAAAGGGGCUUUACCCAAGCUAGAUUGAUAGUUGUUGUUGUAAGCAAAUUCGGCAAAUGGAAGGCAUUUCUCCCAUUCCAUUCCGAAUGAGAUAACAGAGGCUCGAAGCAUGUCUUCUAGGAUCUGGUUGACGCGUUCUACUUGACCACUUGAUUGAGGGUGAAAAGCGGUGCUAAAGGAAAGGCGGGUUCCCAUAGCAUUUUGGAAACUUUCCCAAAAUCGAGAGGUGAAGAGACUUCCUCGAUCCGAGUUAAUUUCCAAAGGAACACCAUGGAGAGACACUAUUCGGGAGAUGUACAAGCCUGCUAACUGACUAGCAGUUAUACUCUCACGAACAGGUAAGAAAUGGGCUACCUUGGAAAGAUGAUCGACCACGACGAAGAUAGCAUUAUUCCCUCUCUUGGUCCUGGGAAAACCGGUAAUGAAAUCCAUACCAAUUUUAUCCCAUUUCCAUUCAGGAAUAGCUAGGGGUUGAAGGGUGCCAGCAGGCCGUUGAUGCUCUGCUUUUACACGACGGCAGACGUCGUAGUUAGCAAUAUACUGAGCAAUUUCUCUCUUCAUCCUAGUCCACCAGAACCUCUGGCGUAGGUCCUGAUACAUCUUGGUACUACCGAGAUGAAUAGUGAGAGGAGAUUCAUGAGCUUCCUUAAGGAUCAAUCGCCUCAGGUUUCGCACCUUGGGAACCACUAGCCGAUUCCCAAAGUAUACGACCCCUUGAUCAUCAAUGGAGAAAUAAUUCGCAACUCCUUUCUUGAUGUUUCUCUUGAUGCGGGAAAUUCCCGGAUCUACCUUCUGUGCUUUGAUAAUCUGAUCCGUAAGGGUAGGUUUCGCCACCAUGGUGGAAAGGAAUCCUUGAGGAACAAUGUGAAGGUUAAGCUUCCGAAAUUCCUCAUGGAGAAGUGGUUGAAUUUGUUGUAACAUCAGGUUGUUACAAUAAGAUUUACGACUUAGCGCAUCAGCCAUGACGUUGGCUUUCCCUGGAGUGUAAGUUAUUCCUAAGUCGAAAUCUGUGAUCAACUCGACCCAACGUCUUUGCCUGAGAUUCAAAUCCGAUUGGGUGAAGAUGUACUUCAGUCUUUGAUGAUCCGUGAAUAUCUCGCAAUGAUUACCGAGGAGGUAAUGUCGCCAGGUUUUAAGUGCAUAGACUACAGCUGCAAGCUCUAGAUCAUGAAUAGGAUAAUUCUCCUCAUGUGGGUGCAAUUGUCAUGAAGCGUAAGCAAUUACGUGUCGAUCUUGCAUGAGAAUACAGCCUAGUCCUUGUCGCGAGGCGUCGCAGUAGAUAACAAAGUCCUUAGAGAAAUCUGGCGGUACUAGUACGGGAGCAGAAGUCAGGCGUCUUUUCAGCUCCUGAAAGCUGUGCUCACAUUGUGGAGUCCAUUCGAACUUUUUAUCUUUCUUGAGGAGUUCGGUUAGAGGUUUUGCAACUUUGGAGAAAUUUUUGACAAAGCGACGGCAAUAGCUCGCUAAGCCCAGAAAACUCCGAACUUGCUUGACCGAUUCAGGUGGAGUCCAAUUAAGGACGGCUUGAACUCGCUCAGGGUUAACAGCAAUACCUUUACCAGAUAUUACAUGACCCAGAUAGGUCACUUCUGACAACCAAAAUUCACAUUUAGAAAAUUUGGCAUAAAGACGAUGUUCUCGAAGUUUCUUCAACACUAGCCUUAGAUGUUCGGCAUGUUCUUCCUCGUUCUUGGAGUAGAUGAGUAUAUCAUCGAGGUAAACCACGACGAAUUUAUCCAAAUACUCCAUGAAGAUUGAGUUCAUUAACCGAGAAAAGGUGGCUGGAGCGUUGGUUAAACCGAAGGACAUGACGGUGUACUCGUAUUGGCCAUAACGAGUAACAAAGGCCGUUUUAGGAAUGUCCCCGUUCCUGAUUUUGAUUUGAUGGUAGCCCAACCUCAAAUCCAUUUUGGAGAAGAUUGAGGAUCCAGCGAGCUGAUCAUACAGGUCGUUGAUCCUGGGGAGCGGAUAUUUGUUCUUGAUUGUGACCAAGUUGACAGGUCGAUAAUCUACAACCAUCCGGUCCGUACCAUCCUUCUUCUUGACGAAGAGGACGGGGCAAGCCCACGGAGAUGAACUAGGUCGGAUGAAACCCUUUUUCAAGGACUCAUCGAGUUGCUUCUUAAGCUCGGCUAGUUCUAGUGGUGCCAUCUUAUAGGGUCUUCUAGCAAUCGGGACGGUUCCUGGAAUGAGGUCUAUUACGAACUCAACAUCCCUGUCAGGUGGAACACCUGGCAAUUCCUCUGGGAAGACAUCCGGGAAGUCACGGACUACCGGGACGUCCUCAAGGUCUGGCAAAGGGCUGGCGUUAAGAGAAUAUAACUGUCGCUUGGCUAUUCGGGUCAAGACAUUGACUAUCUUCCCCGAAGGAUGGGUGAGUUGAACAGUCCUAGAGAAGCAAUCAAUUUUGGCAUGAUGGGCUGACAUCCAGUCCAUACCCAAGAUGAUAUUAAUAUCUGAAGAUUUAAGAGCUAUCAAGGAUGCAAGGAAAACAAGUCUGUCGACUUGGAUUUCAUUUCCAUGACUUACCCUGGAGGUUUGCCAUUUGGAUCCCGGAGUUUGAAUUACCAUAGAGGUGGGCAUCUCACAAAAUGUGGUGUUAUGCAGACGAGCAUAGCUCUCGGAUAUAAAUGAAUGAGAUGCUCCUGUAUCGAAAAGAACAGAUGCCGGGUGGCAAUUAACAAGGAGCGUACCGAGAACGACGUUGGGAUCCUCUUGAGCUUCUUCGGCAGAGAUACAGUUGACAUGGCCACGUGCAGCGGUGGCCGGCUUGGCGUAGAACACUUUCCCUGUCGGCUUGCCACGGCCAACAGCUUUAGCAGAUUGGUUGGGGUUGGUCUGGGGACACUCGCGCAUAUAGUGGCCAGAUUCCCCACACUUAAAGCAAGUCACGGAACUGGUGCGUGGAGGAGCAUUGUUGGUUGGACCACCAUAGGGCUUGGCUGGUGCAAACUGUUGAACGGGGCGAGGCGCCUGGAAGGAUGGCCUCGGUGUGAACCUGGGUGGCAGGGCAGUGUUAGGCACCCACACGCGGCGCUUCUGAGGACCAGCACCGGAUGAGGAACCCACGUCACGGCCAUGCUUGCGUGUUGCGUCAUAAUCAGUCUGACCAGUCUCAGCAUUGAUGGCCUUGUUAACAAGCUUCUGAAAGGAUGUGCACUCAUGCAGACGGAGGUCACGGCGAAGCUUAGGACUAAGUCCCUUACGGAACCUUGCUUGCUUCUUGGCAUCAGUAGAAACUUCCUCAGUUGCAUAUCGUGCGAGGUUACCGAACUCCCUGCUGUAAGAAUCCACAGAGAGUCGGCCUUGAGUGAAACUGCAAAAUUCCUCACGUUUACGGUCCAUGAGACCCUCCGGAAUGUGAUGUUCACGGAAAGCCUCGCUGAAUUCAGCCCAAGUAGUGACAUGGUCCGCUGGGCGCAUAGCUCCAUAAUUCUCCCACCAUAGACUCACGGGGCCUUCAAGAUGAUAUGCAGCAAAGGUGACCUUGUCAGCCUCAGCUACUAGCGCAGAACGCAGUUUGUGAGAAAUACUGCGAAGCCAGUCAUCAGCGUCGAGAGGCUCGACGGAGUGGUGGAACGUGGGUGGAUGUAACUUGAUGAAAUCACUGAGUGACACCAAGUUAGUCCUCUGAUGGUGUGUUGUGUUCUGUUCAAUACGCUCCAACAAACGGUUGGUCUCCCGCUUGUUUCUCUCGGCUUCCAGCAUAACUUCGGCUAGGGAAGGAGGGUGAGGCGGGUUUGCAUUCCCGACUUCACUGCCUUCAGCCUGCUCUUGGGAAACAGGGUUAUUGCGCGUGUUGACCAUCCUAGGUAAACAAGACAAUGAUUUGGUCAGAAUAACAAGAUUCCGACAUAGAAUACAGAAUGUAAGGAAUAACUCGGAAUGCAAGAUGAUCAUCCGUAUGACAUGGUAGAUACAGAAACUGCUCCUUUUAUUCCAUCGUCAUACACACCAUACAAGGUUUAGUACAAGACCAAACAAGGUACUAUUACGGUGAAAAGAAGAUUACAUCACAUCGGAGGCACUCCGAGCUCCUAUACAUUAUUUUUCUACACCUCCGGAAGGCGGUACAAACUAGGUCAUAUCCCACGAGUCACGCAGGACGAUAGACGACACAGCUAGUACGAACUAGUGAUACUACCACUAACUCAGACCGAUCUGUAGUAGUCCUCGUAGAAGUCACCUCCAUAGCCGGGAAGCUCAACAUGAUCAUCCGGGAACAGACGAUCUCGCGGAGUUUGUGGAUCAUAGGGGCUAGGAUGAGGUCUUGGACCAACAGACGGUGGCCUGCGGGGACCACGAGGUGGGGUGAUGCCUCCUACAUCACGCCAACCCAUCACGUCUGGCAGAGCAGAUCUCACAGGAUAGAGAUCGCGCAUAUCCGAACAUCCAGCUUGCACAGCCGGUGCGAAUCGAGUCAAAGUGGCCCAAUGGUCAGCACGGGUAUUGAAAAGCUCUAGCCUCAAGGCCCGAUUUUCACGGUCCUUAUCCUCGAGCAUCUCAGCAGUGGUGCGAGUCCGUGAAUCCUCCUGAGUGGGGUCAGCAUAGAUAGCCUGGAGAUACCCUUGUGCUCCCGGAAGUGAUGCUGGCAUAUACCGGAAAUCAGAGUCCCGGAAUAGGCCAGUCCUGACUCGCAUGAUGGUCAUCAUAGAGUAAGCGGCAUCCUGCACAGCCAUCUCAAUAGUAACCCCGAGUCCAUAGGAGCAGUGAAGGGGCUCGGUGGAUCCAGGAUAAGAUGGAAAUAUCCUGACAGUGCAAAGAUACUGGCUUUGGUUAAAGUCUCGAAAUUGCUCUUCGACUGUGUACUCAGGAUACCAACGGUAUCCAGCCUCAGUCAUUACCCUGACCAACAUGGCAGUAUGGCCGGGUACAUCUAGGCAUCGAGUCAGGCGAACCACUUGAUUGAGGUCGCGAGUGGCCAUCUGAAAGCACAACCAUAAUGCAAAGGCAUUAGAAUUUCUAGCAAAAUUUCGACAGCAUAACAGCUGUAAAUGCUCAAAAAGGAUUUUGAGACAUUUGACAAAGGAUUUCAUACACACUCAACAACAUCAUAUCAAAGUUCUGGGUCCAUCCUAGCAACAUAAUGUGGUAGUAGAACUGAACUAGGCUUGUAUCCAUCAACCUAUAAGGUACUACUGAUUAGUAACACGUGAACCUGAUAGAGAGAAAAGAUUAUAAUUCCUUAACCCCCGGUGGAAGAAUAGACUGACUCAGAUCAGAAUGUCAUAAGAUAAAGGAGUAAAAAGAGCCUUAUGUUCCAACCACAAACAAUUCCCCUACAUAUUAACUAAAGAAUUUCUAGACUCAACAUCGACCAGUUUGGCUUGGAGAACCUACAGGCAGUCCGGCUCUGAUACCAACGCUGUCAGGACCCCGACUCAAUGUCACAUCGAUCUAGCCUGUAACACCUCAUAUCACUUUGCGGCCUCACGCACGGUAUCCCCACGGGUGUCGCCUUACCUUUGCCCGGGACCGUUUGCGCCUUUUGGCUCACGUAUAUGAUAGUGUCGCUAGCAUCCAUAUGAUAAGGAGCCCGGGCUGACAUGACUAGUCGUAAACCCAAAGUGGCACAGACUUACAAGGACAGGCAUCCAUGACCCAGCAUCGAACGUGUCGGUCAUCAGCAAGUGGGUCCGAGCUGUAGCACUGGGCUAGCAGGACUCCGAUAAACCGGGCUGUAGCAGGCUAACAGGACUCCGGUACUCAAUGCGUGACAUUUCCCCGAAGGGACAGACACAGGAACGAAGAAGGACACAUGCCGGCCAGCCUAAAUGUCCCAAAGCAGUAGCAAGCUACCAUGGCUCAGUGGUAACACUAGGAGACAUUUCCCGGUAAGAGAGGCUACUAAAGAUAAACAACUAGAUAGUCAGAUCCCACACAUACCAAGCAUUUCAAUCAUACACACAAUAUGCUCGAUAUGUGCAAAUACAACAAGGCAUCACAACAUGACUCUACGACACAAGUACUUUAUUUAAGGCUCAGAGAGCCAUACAUAACAUACACAUAGUUACGGGUCACACGACCCAGCAUUCAAGUCAUACAGUCAUACAAACCAGCAGCGGGAGUAACUUGUCUGGGUACAGACAACUAGUAAAAUAAAAGAGGCUUGGAAAGCCUAGCUAUACUGCAUGGUCCUUCACAAGCUCAGGAUCACCACCUGGGCCUUAGCCUACUCAUUGAUGUCAACGUCUACGAAGAACCCAUCAGAAGGGGUUGCAGCGUCUUCUGUAAAAAUGUAAAUUAUAGCAACAUGAGUACAAAGGUACUCAGCAAGACUUACAUCAGAUCCUACAUACAUGCACAUUAUCAAAAAGGGUUGGUGGAGUUAUUGCAGCAAGCCAGCUUUGACUCUUGGCUAUGCUAUCCUACGAGACUCCAACUUGAAAUGGUUUUGCGCACACGAGUCCGCUACUCACCACUUCAAUACACUACCGAGGAUCCACCUCCGUCUUCCUACGGAAAAGCCAUCCUCGGCACUCACACUUAUCUUGAGGCUUUUAGUAGUUUCCAUUUACUUGUCUAUGAACUGUAUAGGCAACCAAGUAGUCCUUUACCGCGGACGCGGCUAUUCGAAUAGAUCAUGAUAACCCUGCAGGGGUGUACUUCUUCAUACACGCUCUCACCACUUACCGUCGUUUACACGACAUGUACUCGGCAACCUUCAAGCGGAAGCCCAACGUGGGUGUCGGCCACGACCUACCUAAUCACCUAAGUCUCUAAUCCAGGUUUAUCGCCUAUCCAGGUUCCAUCCGCAGGGAGUCCGGCCGAGGUUUCCCAUACGGCCCCGAACGAUGUGUACAGGGUUCCCGAGAUACCUAACGGGUAGUCGGUACACCGUGCCACGUACCUACCGCAUCACAGCCCACCCCUACGGUCAGCGCUGUCCACGGCCUCCAGUAGGCUACAAACACCAGAAACUACUUGCAACUCCUGGAUAGAGAACUAGGGUGAAUAAGAAGCCGAGAGGGUCCAUUGGUUUCGGGCCCAAUGUAUGGUAGUAGCUGAUUCUUAAAUCACACAUACAGAUCUCAGUGCUUAAGGUCGGCUUCAAUGAAACAACCCACCAUGUACUCCUACAUGGCCUCUCAUCGAUACCUUUACCAAAUCGUGUUCACCACACCACCCUCACUACCGACAUAAUCAUUUCACUCUAGCCCAUCACCCAGAUGAACCAGACCUGACACGACUCUAAGCAUAGCAGGCAUAGCAAGGUAGGAACAACACAUACAUAUGGCUCAAACAACUCCUACACAUGCUAGUGGGUUUCAUCUAGUUACUGUGGCAAUGACAGGUCAUGCAGAGGAAAUGGGUUCAACUACCGUAGCACAUAGCAGUUUGAAACGCGUUGUCUUAAUGCAGUAAAUGAGAGCAGGAGCGAGAACAUGGGAUUGUAUCGAUAUGAUCAAAUGGUUGGUUGCUUGCCUGAUGGUUCGAUGCACUGAUAUGGUUCUUCGUUAGGGUAAUCACGGUACUCCUCGGAGGCAGAACCUGCCGCAAAGAACACCGAUACACAGUCAUCACCAAACAAUGUGCGACAAUAUGAUGCAUGCAUGAAACAUGGCAAUAUGAGUGUGUUGGGCUAAUGCAACUAAGACCCAAAGGGUUUGAACCAAUUUGAACCAAAGAUUCAAAUUUCAAACUCAUACAUGGCCCCUUAAAGUGUUUUAUCUUGUUCUGCAUAAAACAGCAAGUUAACUUGUUUAAUCAUGCAUGAAAACAGUACAGAUGGAUAGAUUGGAUUUUUCUGAUCAUUUUUCAUAUAUAACUUGUCUGAUUUGGAGUUACAGAUUAAAAGGUAUGAAUUUUUGAAGUUUAAACUAUAUUCUGGAAUUUCCUAUAUUAGAAUAAAUCCAGAAAUUAAUUUAUUGCGUCAGCCAUGCGUCAGAAUGACGUCAGGGUCAAUGGAGACGUCCAGGUCAAACCUGACUGUGGGUCCAGGGUGUCAGGGUAAUUAGUUUAGUUUAAAGUUAAUUAAAACUAACCCUAUUUAGUUAACAGGGCUGGGCCCCACCUGUCAUUGACUCAUCGGGGUCAACCAGGGCCCACCCGCGGUCAAAGCCAGGUCGUCUGCACCGGCGUUUAGCCGCCGGCGAGCCCGACACGGCGGCGGAAGUGGUUUUUGCCGUUCCGGCAACCAAACGAGUUGCGGAGGCCAUCGGAGUGGAGCUGAGGAUGAGCCGCAGCUCUUGGUGGAGUCCGUUGGGGUCGGGGUGGCCGGAGUUGGCGCCGGCGACGACUUUGGCAGCCACCGGAGUUCGGCCAAGGGCGAACUUGAUGCUAGAGGGGUCGGUGAGGUGCGGGGAGUAGCUGGUUAGGUGCUAUGUGACGUGGUGAGCAUGAUGGACACCAAGUUGUGGCCGGAGGGUGAUCGGGAGCAUGUCGGCGACGAGCUCCGCGGCGGUGGGUGCGGUUGAGCUUCGGGAGGUCACUACACAGCUCGGGAGCAAGAAAAGAAGGGAGGGGAAGAUGGUUAAGCUCACGGGGAGUUCGACGAAGCACUUGGUGCGGCCGGGGACGGGCCGGAGCGACGGCGGCGUUGAAGGGGAUCUCCGGCGACGGCGGUUCGGUCAAGGUCGAUGCGGUGGGCUCGGGCCUUGCGAGCGCUCGGGGCUCGGCUUGCUCGAAGGAGAGGAGGGUGGCGGAGCUCCUGGACACGACGGCACGGCGUGGGGUUGACGGAGGGCGUGGCUACGGCGAGGGGGUGGCGGCGAUGGCGUCGGCCAUGGCGGGGGAGCGCGAGAGAGAGGAGUUGGGGGAGAAUGGAGGUGUCCUGGGGGUUCACGGCUCGGCGUGGAGUUCAUCCAUCCAGCAACGAGGCGAGGAGGUGAAGCAGGGCGACGGCCAGCUGCGUGGCGCACGCUGCGGCCGCCGUCGGGCACCUGCCUGCCUGCCUGGCCGGCAAGCAGCUCGCUGGCGCGGCGCUGGGCUGGGCCGGCAGGUGGGCCGGGUGCUGGGCGCCAGGUAAGUUUUUUGUUAUUUCUCCUGUUUUCUGUUUUUUUUAAUUCCUCUGCAACUUUGUUGAAUUAUUAAAAAUACUUAGGCAACUCCUAAAAUCACCAAACUACUCCUGGUCCAUAGUUGGAUUAUUUCCAACAUGAAACAUUUUAGUUUGGAGAUAUUUGAGCAUUUGAAAUAUUUUAUAUAAUUUUAAAUGCCCAAAUUCAAAUAUCUAUGAUUUAAUUCAAAGACCCUAAGAUGGCCUAGGAAAAUGUGCACCACUUUUGGCAGAGGUUCUGAACCAAGACAAAAAUGAUGGGCAUUUUAGAAGGGCAUUUCAGGUCCAUUGAAAAAGUUUUUAGUAAACCCUAGUUGGUUUCAGAGGGGGCUGGGGGUUCUGUCAUCCCCAUUUCAGGUUUCUGAUGAAAGAAUAGACAUGAUGCAACACUCUAAUGCAUGAACUAGCUAGGGUGUGACAACGAGCCCUACGACGCGACGAUGGGACGAAAUGCAUGGUUGACGAGGAAAUGAGGGGAAUGGCAACGACUUUCUAUGAGCUGUUGUUUACUUCCAAGGGAUCAGAGGGAGCGCAGGAGCUUCUGGAGAUAAUUAACCCGGCUGUUACGCAACAGAUGAAUGAAAACUAGUGCAAAGAGUGACGGAUGUAGAGAUUGAGGAGGCGUUGUUUCAGAUGGGGCCAACAAAGGCCCCGGGUCCGGAUGGGUUACCUGCGCUUUUCUACCAAAGGCACUGGCCGAUGGUACGGGAGGACGUAUGCCGGGCCGUCAGGGAUUUCUUGAUGGUGUUGCUGCUCCAGAUUCGUUCAAUGCAACGACGAUUGUGAUGAUUCCGAAGGUCAACUCACCGGAGCUGCUUUCUCAAUUCUGCCCAAUCAGUUUGUGUAAUGUUCUGUACAAAAUGGCAGCGAAGGUUCUUGCGAAUAGGCUAAAGGUUAUUCUACCUGUGCUUAUCUUCGAGGAACAGAGCGCUUUUGUACCGGGCAGGCUUAUAACGGACAAUGUUUUGGUGGCAUAUGAGUGCGUGCAUGCGAUCAGAACCCGGAGACGAAAGAAGCCUUUAUGUGCAGUUAAGCUUGACAUGACGAAGGCUUAUGACAGAGUGGAGUGGAUGUUUCUUGAACAUAUGCUGUUAAAGCUUGGGUUUGCCGAGGGUUGGAUCGCCAUGGUUAUGAGAUGUGUGACCUCUGCCAGAUUCACGAUGAAAUUAAAUGGUGGGCUAUCUAGAUGUUUUUUACCAUCCAGAGGGCUGAGACAAGGGGAUCCUCUAUCCCCUAUUUAUUCUUGUUCUGUGUUGAAGGAUUCUCAGCUAUGCUAAAGAAGGCUCAAGAAGAAGGAAGUAUAAAAGGGGUGGGGUUUGGGGGCACUGGCCCCCAAGUCACACAUCUCCUGUUUGCAGAUGAUAGUAUAGUAUUCAUGCAGGGCUCGACAGAAAAUAUUCAGGUGCUAAAGAACAUCUUGGCUAGAUAUGAAGUGGCAUCGGGACUAAAAAUCAACCUCCAAAAGUCUUCAACUUUCUUUGGGAAAGGUUGUGAACAGCAGCAAAAGGAGAUUCUGAAGCACACCUUUGGCAUUGAACAAGAGGCGCUCAGUGAAAUAUGUUUGGGUCUACCAACACUGGUUGGGAGAAAUAAGGAUGGGACUUUCAAAUACUUAACGGAAAGUUGUAAAGGCAAGGUAAUGGGAUGGAAAGGACGAGGACUCUCGAAGAAAGCAAGAGAAGUACUAGUUAAGUCUGGGCUACAGGCAACACCAACUUUCACCAUGAGUUGUUUUCACCUAUCAAAGAAGAUGUGCCGGAAAUUGACUUCAAUCUCUUCAAAAUUCUGAUGGGUGCAAUAAACGGUGAAAGGAAAGUGCACUGGAUCGCAUGGGAUAAAAUGUGCCAAUCAAAACGUACAGGAGGUAUGGGCUUCAGGGACUAUGAAGCUUUCAACCAGGCAUUAUUGGCUAAGCAAGCCUGGAGGAUCUUGCAGGUAUCGGACUCCCUCUGUGCUAGGAUACUUCGUGGGAGAUAUUUUAAAGAAAGCUCAAUUAUGAGUGCAACUUGUCCGUCCGGUGGAUCAUACACUUUCAGAAGCAUCCUUCAUGGGCGUGGCCUGCUGCGAGAAGGUAUCAUUUGGCGGAUCGGAGAUGGCUCGUCCGUGAACAUCCACCAUGACCCAUGGAUUCCACGCCAAGGAAGCUUGCAGCCACUGGGCGCAGUGUUUCAACUGGGAGUGGUGAAGGUAUUGGACCUGCUAGACCAUACAGGUGCGGCAUGGGAUAAUAGUAGGAUUGAGGAUAUGUUCUCACCGGAUGAUGCAGAGGAUAUAAAACAGAUCACUGUGGGCGGCCCGGGAGUUAAUGACUAUAUAGCAUGGAAUAACACUAAGGACGGGAAGUUCACAGUGCGAUCUGCCUAUCACCUGAGGAUGAGCCUGAAUGCAGCGAGGGUCGGACGAGCGGGGCCUCCUCGUCUGCCUUUACUCACAGGGGCUGGUUAUCUAUGUGGGACACGGCAGCGCCAGGCAAGGCAAAAGUUCACAUGUGGCGACUGAUGAGGAACGGCCUGGCCACGGGUGCAGAGUUGCUGCGCCGGCGUAUCAAGGCUGGAGUGUUUUGCAUAGCAUGUGGACGGGAAGAUGGAUACCACAGAUUUUGGGGGUGCCUGCACUCCCUGUGUUUUUGGAGACGGCUUAGCUCGGAAUUGGGAAUCUCGGUGGCAAUCCCACCACGCAGCAUUGAUUCCCAGAGCAAGCUAGAGAAAUGGUUGCUGGAAUGGUUCGCUCAGGCGGAGGAGCUGGAGAGAUCGGUCAUGGUGCAGGCAGUAUAUACCCUUUGGCUAGCGAGAAAUGAUGCUAGAGAUGGACGCAAGAUUACUGAACCUCACGAAUUAUCAACCAGGGUAGCUACUUAUCUCAAUGAAUGGGCUGAGGAGCAUAAGAAGGAGGUGAGGCAAAGGGAAGCAACGGUGCAACAAGCCUGGGAGACUCCGGAGGACGGAUGGACUAAGGCCAAUGUGGAUGGCUCGUUGUGCAAGUGUAGGCAAAAAGGAGGCGUGGGGGUGGUGCUGCGUGAUCAUCAAGGCGCGUUUAGAGCGGCUUCUUGCCAGUUCCUCGGAGCGAUGGUUGAUCCGGGGAGAGUGGAGCUGCUCGCUUGCAAGUCGGCUGUACAACUGGCGACGAGCUUGGGCGCAACGCAACUUCAUCUGGAGAGCGACUCGGCUCGAGUCGUUGCGAUGCUAAAUGAUGAGGAGAAGAAUCUGUCUGCCCUGGGGCCGAUUGUGGAAGAGGUUAAGUGGGUGCGACGUAGUGCAAAUGCCGCCGCUGAUAGGUUAGCUAAGGUGGGAAUGGAAGAUGAACUUUCUCAAGUAUGGCUCUCUUCCCUGCCAGACUGCAUUUUGGACAUUGUUUCGGAUGAGAUUUCGAGUUUCAUUUCAUAAUUAAAUAAAGCGGCAAGAGAUACCAUAAAAAAACAAGAGAGACGGGAGACAGAGAAGUAAAAGUGAAUAGUUAUCCUUACUAGCAGAGUGCCCAUGCGUUGCUACGGGCUACGAUGCAUAUAAAUGAAUUGAACAAAUGAUAAGGGUCGUCUCCAAGUCUGACACUCAUUUCUCUCUCAUACGCCCGACCAUGUUCGGACGUGAAACGAUUGCCUAGCGGGCUUCUCAAAAUUCAACCGUUUGAACAGUCCAUGCUAUCCCGACCAUAUGUGUGAGAGGAAUAUGGUUGUCCGCCAUGUUAUCUUCAACACACUGACCCAACAUAAAAAAAAUAACCAUCCCACGAUGGACCCUUCUCUUUUUUAGUGGACCCUCCUCUUCCUGCUCGGUUCCCGCCGUAGCGGGACAUUGCUCGCUAGAACCCUCUCCUUUAAAAUCAAACAAUGUCCAUAUCAUCUUCACCAUGACACACUAUCUCCUUCACCCCAUAUUUCCCCAUGGACCGCCAAGGAGGAGUACCCGCCAACCGCCAUGCUCUCUGCCCUGAUCCCCCCUCCCCCUAUUUGUGUCGAUCCACCACCGCCUAUUAGGUGUAUAUGCACCCAUCUCUUAGAAAUGCAUGUUAAACACAUUUUUAAAUGUUAUAAAUAGUUAAAAAAGGACAGACCCAGUGCAUAGAAGCUCCCACACAAGGUGGGGUCUGGGGAGGGAUUAUAGGAACCUAGUCUUACCCCUGCAAAGUGCAAUGCAGAGAGGUUGGUUCGAACCCAGGACCUCUUGGCACAAGUGGGGAGGACUUCACCGCUGCGCCAGGCCUGCCCUCUAAAUGUUAUAAAUAGUUCCAAAACAAAAUUUCCCAUCUACAUCUAUGCAAAAAUAUGUGCGCGACACAAACUUUCGUAAAAAUACAUCAUUUUAUUUUGCCUCCACAAAAAAAAGACAAAUUUCAAUGGUUGAAAAUAUUGUUCCAUGAGACAGUUUUUUGUCUUUUUUGCACACAAAAAAAAAUCAUUCGAAACUUUUGGCGCACACAUAGAAUGUGAAGUUGUACAUGUGCAACAAUUUUCAGAAUUUUUUUUUGAACUUAAAAAGGUGUCUUUCGAAGUGGGUGCAGAUGUACUUGGGUUCAUCCAUGUAUUUUCCCGUCCACAGCUAGCAGCAUACAACUCAUUUUGACCGUUCCCAGAAAAAAAAAAAACAAGCUACCAGCCACACAGAAAAUCAGGCCACCAACGAUGCUGUAAGGACCAGGCCACCUGAAGUCUCCCACAAACUACAGUUCUUUCGCCAGGCGCGGCGGAGCACGCCACCAUGUCUAGUUGUAUUAAACGUCCAUAGUUGCAUCUAAUCAAGCUAUAAAAAGGAAGACACCAUCUAGCAUAUAUCGUGAGCGCAUCACAUAUAACACAAGUAUGCAUACAGUCAAGGCAUCCAAGAAAUAUGUUGCUUUUUGAGACCAACAUAAUUCAUCUCUGUGUACUAAUCAAUAGUUAAAAAAUAGCUAGAAAUUAUUUAGUCUAGCGGAUAACUGGAAGUCCAGUCUACCAGGAAGCUAAUCACAAAAACAUGAUAAAAAUCAAAACCAUAGUCUUUCUAUUCCUGGCAAUUGAUCAUCCUAUAUAGGAAGAUAUAGUUCAUAUACCAUUAGUAAAUAAUCUAGGCAUAUAGGUACAGAAGAGCCACGAGACUGAUCCGAGUUUCAGCUUAACAUCAACCAAUUGCUUACAGUCCAGAAUAGAGUCGCAAAAUUGCAUCAAGAACAGGAUCUGACACUUGCAUUGUGGUGUUUUUCCACUGUAUAUCUGACACACACACUACAUGCACUCUGCGGAUAUGUAUCCAACCGGCUAUACUCUAUGCUCACUGGAUUUUGCGGACUUCUUGGCCAUGUUAGGUAAAGAAGCUCCAUAACUGUCAUUUCGUAGCAAGAUUGCAGCCACUCCUGCCUCCUCCUAUAUGUAGCACUUGAAACCUUCACAUGAAGACUGUCAUUAAGAAAAUGGUUGUAUCAAAGUGAAUCUUGUGAAGAGAGUCAAUUCAGCUCUAGUGUUCAAUGUCACAGUGUCAGAAAGCAAGCAAUAAUAAUUCAGUUAUAUGAUUAAGCCCCCAACCGGAACCCGCGACAUGCCCCGACGCUCAGUCCCCAUCCUGCACUGUUGUGGAAAACCCCGGGGUGCCCCCAAGCCAACGCGCGAUCUGGCUCCAGCGACCAGGCACGUCCAUCGAUCGGGAUCUUGGCCAGCGCCAGCGGGUCCCUUCAACACCGCCGCCCUCCGGAAAUUUCUAACUCAUGAGAAAUGGAAACUUCUCACUCAGGAGAAAUUUUCUUUUGAAACUAAAUAAUAUAGACUAAAUUACUAACAUGAUCAAUGUUCUGACCAUGAGAUAGUUACAGUGCCCUCCAUAGAAAAAAAGAACUUGAAUCAGAGAUCGGUAUAAGUUAUAGCUCUUUCACCGUCGUUGAAGAAAAAUAUAACUGUUGCACCAUGCUAGGCACUCAGAUAAACCCCAAACAUAUUGUAUAUUUAUUAGGAAGAAACUUCAACAGUAUAAGAAAAUCUAGGGAUCAAAUGGUAAACUGUUUUAGGAUCUUGCACAAGAAAUCAGUAAAACUUUUAUGUAGGAUCUGUUGAACUGAUGAGUUCAAUCAUUGUAUUUGGAAUAUGAUAUCAUAUAUAGUAACUCAUUGCCUGCUAUCAAUACAAGAAACCUCACAUGAAGCAUAUGACAAGGUUUAUCAAACAAGCAAGUAGGAUUAACAUCCAGAAAAUUACAUCAAGAUGGAAGCUUUCUAUUUAGUAGACAGGUAGUUGAUGGGAUGUUACCUGCAGGACCUUGGUCUUUUCUCCUCCGAGAUGAGCUGUGCCGCCAUGAUGGACAGUCCUUCCAGUUCCACACGCUUGGACGGCCAGUGCCAUCCAACAGCAGGUGGCGUAGUGGAGGCAUGGGUGAUCUGCACACGCACACACAUCUGCUAGGUCAAGCGCCAAGGGAGGUGGAGCUGACUGAAAAGAACUCGCCAGAGACGCUUAAAUCUGCAGUUCACCAAAAGAUUUCUACCUAAUAUCCUGCUCCCAAAUACAAAGAAAUUGUUUUUUUCAAAAUAAGAGUUAUAUUAGCACGGGCACCAAGAGGAAUGAUAUUGUAUCAUCUUCAGGGCAUGCCUCACAGAAAGCAAUUUCUACAUAAGACAGGAACAUACCCAUUGGACGACAUCACUUUGAUAUGGAAUAAUGAAGAACAAACAUGAGGCAGUUAAACAUGGUGCACCCCGUAACAAUAAUGUUUUUGCAGUUUGCAGCUGUUGCCAUGACAUUUAUCCUACUCCGUGAAAGAGAAAAUUGGCAACGAUGUUUAGGUUUGCCAUCGCUGCAUUCAUGCUUAUCUUUCAUAGAAAGAAGACGACAAAACAAUUCCAAAUCUCUGAAUAUCUGCUAUUGUGUGCAUGAAAUUAUUAGCCAUCUAAUUGUGACCAGGGAGAUAUAUAAUCAGUACAUGGUGAGUUCAGCUUGUAGCGAUGCAAUAGAUACAUGUUCAGUAUGAUCAGAUCAUACAGAAUAUUGACCGAAGACGGAUCAAGGGUUGCGUCGCGGCGGGGCAUACCUAUAUAUCCUCCCCUCUGGUUCCUUCACUAUGACAAAACAUCUGUUUUAGGAGCUAUUAAAUUCCAAGAAAUUUAGGUGCUCAUACUUUCUGUCAGAAAAAUGUUAAAGGUCAAAUACUCUUGUUAGGAUCGGAUUCACAAAUAAAUAUACAUGUCUGUGCAAGAGGUGCUUCCUCUGGAUCAUAGAAGAUGGUCCAGUCAUCUGGCCAAAGAUACCACCGUUUUGGCCAUCCAUUUCUUCAAACAUCUUUAGUCAUAUUCAGAUAUACCAAAAAGAACACAACUACAGAUAAAUGGUUUCAGAUACACGAUGGGUCAGCUGCAUUUUGCAUCAAUUAUAUAUCAUAUGACAUAUGAAGAUGACAACCCUAUGAUCUACAACAAGGAUAGCUAGCAAAAUCGAACAGAGUCAAAGGAGGGGGAUUUCUAUUACCAAGGGCAUGUUUGGAUGAUGCCCACAAGAGCCCUACCAAAACGUUGGCAUGCCAAUUUUUUGGCCAUCGAAUUCGCCGCCAAGUUCUCGCCACCACGCGGUCGCCAGAAUCAUUACAGGUUGCAGCAGGUGACCAAAAUAUUGGUCGGGAUUCUAAAAUUUGGCUGCAAUCCAAACGCCAGCCCACCCCAUCGGUCAACGCCAAAAAAUUGGCAGGGCAGCGGUAGGCACUGAACCAAACAAGCUCCAAAUUUCCAGAUUAAAUCGGCACCAACUUACGUGAAUCAUUGUACAAUUAGUAUGAACUCGCACCCAAAAUAGAAAAUCUUCAAACGUGAACAGUUGAACCUUGAAGAUGAAGAACGUUGGGAUUGGAGUUGAACCCCUCCAUGGCAACGAGGAGCUGCGCAGCAGGCGGGUUUAGGCGUCGCGGCAGAGGUCAGCUAGGUGGGUAAGGAGGAGGAGGAAGACCGGCGUGGCGAGGGAUCAGGGAGCUUGCAGCAGGGACUUGGCGAGGGAGGCGGCCGGCGGUGCGUUGACGGUGCUAGAGAUGGCCGAGGACAGCGACGAGGUGGCAGCUGCGCACGAGAUCACAUGGGUGUCCGGCGAGGAGCCGAGCGGCGGGUGUGGCUGGUGGUGGCGCUAACCCUAGCGCGCCGCCAGUUCGUGGUAGGGAUGGGAGCAGGCGAGUGACGUGCAUGUGACGACAUGGGCUUUCUGUCAUAGGCUUGUUGGGUUGGGCCCAUGUGAGGCUUGGCGGAGCGGGGAUCGACAGGGGUGGGGAAGUCGAUCGACUGGAGGACGAACGAACGACUUACGAACUCGUCUAUUAGGAGUAGAGAUUCGUCUAUUAGGAGUAGAGAUUGAUGAUGGCCCCGAAGGGGUAACUGAAGGGAUGCGAGGCAACCGCCUCAUCAGGAAAAGUAGGGAUCAAUAGGAUUAAUUAAAUCCUAACAGUUGCAUUCGGGAGGGAGGGCAGGCGAUAUUGAAGAUCGAAGAGAGAUGGGAACUUGGGAAGGCAUGCAUACGCCGGCUCCAGAUGCGCCUCUUCUUCCCCAUCUCAGCGCAGGAUUUCUUCCUGGUGAAGCUCUCUUUCCCUGCAUUGUGAGCUAACGCCUCUGGGAGGCCAGAUGAGAAUUACAUUCGGCCCACAGGGUAAAGAAACCAAAAAGUUCGGACCUAAACCAACUCGCACUCGGUUCGAAAGUACGUUCAACGUACUGUGAAUUUAGCUAUCUGCAUUGGUAGUUUCACCUGGGCAGUCGUGCUACUUAAAAUCUGCGACAGCCUAACUAAAGCUGCUACCAAUCUACUGUCGUUUCAAAAAGGGGCAUAAUCGUCCAAAGUUCGGCGGCGACUGUCAUCCAUAGAGCGUUUAGGUUCUCACUAACUGAAAACCUCUUCAACCGCAAAACGCAGAUGCAAGCCACAUUGUAUAACAGAGAUAAACACUGAAAAAAAAAUAUUUCCUGGCAAAAAAAGAAGCACAGCGAAAUGCCAUUUCCUCAGAAGCAUAAAAUCCAACACAACACAAUCUAUAUGGCAGUUCCAAACAAUAGCAGCAGCAACAAAACAAUACUAAAACAACAGAAAAAAAGCAACUCAGUACUUCGGUGGUUUAUCAUGCCGUUUAUCAUGCCACCAAAAACUCUUAAGCUGAUUGGCCAACUGCAAGCCAUCAUUCAUCUGCAAUCAUGCAACCCAACAGCAAAAUUCGAACCUACGCUUCAGAUCCCCAGCAAGGAAUAAAGAUAUAGUUGAAUAGAUCAGCCAGAUUAGUUGGGUUCCAAAUAGUACUUUGAUGCCUAGUUGAAUUUCAAACAGAAAGGCCCAACCAUCAUAAAUGAAGUCAGCAGCUGCAAGGGGCCAAAGGGGCGUCCAACGAAUGGGAAAUCUGUGCACCACCAAACCAAUUGGCAACCCUUAACUGUUAACAGAUCGCAAAGCAAGAUUUGCACCUUAAUGCUUCUUCAGUAAGAAGCCCAACUAGCGAAUCCACCAUACUCAUAUCAGACACUUUGUUGACCCCUGAAGAAGGAAGAUCACGCAAAACUUCUAAAAGAACAGUACCCCUCCAGCUGGCAUGUGACUCGGUACGUGAAGAGAAUAUUGCUAGAUUUGCACCUUGCUUAUGAAGAAGCACAAUUAGCAAAGCCACAAUAACCAUACCAGGUAACUUGUUAAGCACCUGGGGAAGGAAGAUCACACAACGUCUCCAGUUGGCAUGUGGUUUUGCUAUGGGCAAGAGAAUAAAGCAAUGCUAGCAUAAUAAUAACAUAAGAGUAGCAACCACCUGCAAUUUGAGAGAAAAUGAUUAUUAAAGCCAUGAAUAAAGUAUACCAACUAACUGAAGAAAUGUAAACAGAUAGGGAAACAUACCUCUUACUAAAGAUGGCUGAAGCUUAAAAGAUCGUUCAGCGGGGAAACAACGCCCAAAGACCACCCAAAAUAAGGGUUUAGCUUGAUCACCAUGGCACAUCUGAAUUUCAGCCUCAUGAUAGAUUGGCGGCAAAGGAAUGUGAGCACCUCAUACAUCUUCAAUAACUUUCACAUGCGGAGCAACUUGGGUGGUCCUUAGUCCUUGCGUUCCUCAAGGAAGGCAGAAACUAAAGGCAAUCAAGUAAUGUUCAUAACAGUAGUGUUCACCGGUUGACCGGUAUCCAUUCAACUCUAGUUCUAUGUAGACACAUAACCCAUACAAUUCAGUAAGCCAAGAACCUGACAAGUAAAAGGUUUUGUUGUCCCUUGAACAUAUAGUAGCACAAAAAGCGGGAACAAAGGGGCGCCC